UGUUGUCUCAUGUGCAUGGAUCAACCUGGAUGGAGGGUGGUGAAUCGGGACGUAGCGGCCACGGUCAGGUCUGGUAUAGUUGCGAGUUAUCUUCAAUUCAAGCAUGAAAUCUCAAUAUUUGAAUGAACAGAAUCUUCCUUUCACUUGAGUGCAUAAGAUUCUUUGUAAGCAAUAUGCAACUUUCUUGAUGUGCCAGUACAAACUAGGAGGCGCUCGGAGGCUAAUGCUUAACUAUCUUCGGAUGAAACUGACAUCGAGGUGAUGGACACAUGUUGGCCUACUUUAUUCUUUUAGUAUGAAUGAUUAGCAUUUCAUAGAAACAUGAUGUAUGUGAUAUAUUUGAAUCAACAAGCUAUGUGAUUUUUUUCAUUAUGCAAUACAAAAGUAUGUUGUGAAAUAUAUUGCUAUACUUUAUUUUUAGCAGUCAUAAAAUAUGUAAAAUAUGUAUUCAGUUUAGUUGUUUUGAUAGAAUGCUCAUGUGGUUGGGCAGAGAAAAUAUUAUUGAAUUUAGUUGUUUUCAGUAUGCAGUGUGAUUUAUUAUUAAUUAGAAAAUACAGAAAAAAUUGUGUAGGUAUCUCGAUUCUCUUAGAUGCCACUUCUUGGCAUGUAAUUUUCAACAUUACUGAACUUUUUAGAGUUGUGUUUCGAUUGUAUUUCAGAGAGAACUUGCAAACUGAAGAAGUACAUCAAUCCUCAUUGUUUUAUAUAGGUUACUUAAAUUGGGUUAAAAAAUUCCUAAACCCAUCAUUUUCAUUUUACCAAAUGAUACCUUUCCAUCAUUUUCAUUUUCAAUUUAUUAAGUACAUUUUCUCUUUUUAUUUAAUUUAAUUAUGCAGGAAAAGGAGGAAUAUGUAGUUACCCUUUGUAUUGAUGAUAGCUACCCUUUGUAUUGGAGAAGGCGCGAGGAGGAUAGAUAGUCAAUGGUGCAGGUUCCAUGACUUGGCCAAAGGUUGGCACAAGCGUUAUGGGGUCAGAGAAACGCGAGUUGGGACUUCUGAACAAUGCUUGUAAGUGGCAUCUGUUGUAGCCCCACAAGCUUAAAAUGGGUUUUAUACAUUUGCUUUCGCUUCAAAACUUGAAGGAGCUAUUUGAGUUGGUGGUGUGCUUUAAAAAUGCAUACUAUUGUUGGAUGGUUUCUCUAUAGUCGCUAUUUCUUCCAUUUUUUCUUGAAUUUUCCAGCAUAUGAACCAUCACUUGAAUUUCAUGUGCAUUGGUUGAGACGUGCCUUGCAUGUGCAUGUUUACUACAAGAUCAUGCUAAGCAGUAUGUCACUCAUGUAUUAACUAUCCAGUAAUGACAGUAAAUUUUUUAAGUAACAAUGGCCUAUUAAUAAGCCAAAAUUCUUCACCUGUGAGGUAGCUCUAGAAGCUUUAAUUUCACGUCAACCGAUUAUUUUGAUUUUACACUACAGUUUCUGUUCACUUGUUAUAUAUGUUGGGACUGUUGAUAUUUUUUGUGAUUUGCAGUUACUCACAACGGAUUUAUGUUUGAUUUUUUGGAGUUUUUGCAGGUGAUACCUCAACCUUUAUAUGCAAGUGCCAAAAGAUCUCAGGUUGUAUAUAUUUCCUUUGAAAUACCAGGUUGUGUCCUGUUCUAAUGCCAGAUUAUCUGUAUUUUAAGCCUUUUUUCAAACAUCGAAGCUAGAUAUGAUGCAUCAAGUGAAGAAGUUAGGAUUCAUUCCAGCUUGCUGCAACCUUCAAGUGAGCCCAAUGUUUCUCCUUGUCUUAUGUUACUCCAAACAUUUUUUUCAUUAUUCCAUUGAAUACAUUUGUUUCCAAUUUUUCAAUGAAGUGAAAGUAAUGUGUAUAUUGUGUGUUUCAAUAUUUUUGCAGCUAUAUAUAUAUAUAUACACUAAAAUUAAUAUAAAAAGCAAUUUAUAAAUUAUUCGGUUAGUCGUGCGUUGCACGUGCAUGCUAACUAGUUACGUCACGUGACCGAAUGGUCGAGUUCACAAGGUAGGGCCUAUAAGGCCAAAUCACACGGGUACAACUAGUAGCAGAAUUCUUAGGGCUAAGCGGGUGCCCAUGCCAUCAGCCUACACCAAUAUGCAUUCUGACUCGGAAGCGUCCUAGUUAGCAGGGCGUCUCCGAAGACGUACUCUUCAACAAAUUUCGAUCCUUCCAUGUCUGGUCAAUAAUAUAACCAGUAUCAAGCCAAUGGGUACUUUUGAAUGUACUCGCAAACAGCCCAUGAUAUGAACAAUGCAAGUGAAGGGUAACAAUAAUAUGCAUCUUUGGUGGUCAACAACUUGGUUGUAAAUAAACAUGAUCAUGGAUAUGCAACAUAAGCUAAAUGUUGAUUUAGAGAACAGGUUACAGAUAUCAAUAUAUCUGUCGAGGGUUGAACACCCCGGGUUCACCCUAUAUGACAAGUCACCAAACUUGUCAUAUCAACUCUUCCAUAUUAACUCCAUUUACCACAUACUCACACACACUUGGUUUAUGCGGAAACGACUGGACGUAGUUUAAGCAGGAUUACCCAACUGUCCUUGACCGUGGACACGGCUAUUCGAAUAGUUUUACACUCUGCAAAGGUAGUACGCUAGACCCACAAGAUCCAGGAAACUUAUGUGUCAUCCACGACUCGCAGUAUAUAACAUACACGAGGUAAGUACCCGAUCAAUGCCUUUUCCCUGACGAUACUACACAAAGAGGUCCACUCGAUUGGUACCCAGCCCACAUAUUAUAUGUCUUACGAGCACCGACUCUGGACAGUAUCAACCAUGCGGGGACCAACGGUGUGCUUGGAACACAUAAAAACGGCAUAGUCGCCCUACCUGGCACGACCCCAUCACGAGAGAGACCACACAUCACUCCCGUCACUAGUAAUGUGGCUCUUUGCUAGCACCGACCAGACUAAUCAACAGAGCCCCGUCCCAUAAAGGGGUAAUGUGGUUGUACAGGUAAGGUUGGGAUGGUCGACACAUCAUAAAUCUUAUCCCAUUUCCGAAACCAUACACACUCAAAAUACCCGGUGCACCACUUCUCCGAAAGUGGCCACCUAACUCAUCAUCACCUUCGGACAUUAGUGGCACCCGAUGGGGGUUUUCAUAAAUCUUUGACUUAUACCAACAACAUGCUCAUGCUACUGCUAUUCUAGAUUUACUUGUCAACAUGAUAUUAGCGUGACCCUCAUACGUGGUAGGAUCAUGCUCAAAAUGCAAGUGCUCCGGAGGAGCCUUCGGUAACAUCACUUCAAUGAUUUACCGACUCUUAUGAACAUAUGCAACGAAAAUAUUUGCUACACUAGCAUGCAAUAUAACAUAUGCUCAGUCAUGGUCAAAGGGCUACUUGGCUUGGUCUGAUAGGUAUCCGGGGUCUUCGAGGUCUUCCGCUCCAACUCCUUCGUCACACGGGUUUUCUAUCACCGUAAUAAAUAAAUGCAAUAAGUAGCUCAGUGCAAAAUAGAUCAAAAAAUCACUUUAAAAAUGUUGUUUAAUUCUGAUAAAUCCAUAUUAUUAUUUAAAAAAUAUUUGUCUCUGGUUUUAGUGAAAGAAUAUUUUUAAAAUCCAUAUAACAGAAGCAAAACUAUUCCAAUUUAACCCUUUUUAUUAUUAUAAAUAGAAUAGUUGUUGCAAAAAUUACUUUAAUGAUUUUGUUAAAUACUACAUGUGUUUAGAAAAAUAUCAGUGGAAAAAUCAUAUUAUUUCACUGGUUAAAUAUUUUCACAAAAAUCAUUGAAAAUCAAGUUUCAAAAAUAAAAGAAAAGGCCUACAGCCCCUGGCUUGGCUUGGCCUAGAACUGGGCCGGCCCACUGGCUGUGACAUCCCCGGAUUUGUGCUACAAUAACCCAUGUAGUCAAGCGACAGUAAUCCACGCUAAUGAAGCCACGUCAUCAUAAAUUCUAUCAUUGAUCUUGUGUUAGUCGAAAACCAAGUCGAGUUCAAAAUUUAUAAAAAUAAAGUCGAACGAGAAACGUUUUGUGAUGUUAAGUAAAAAUGUCGGAAGAGUUAUUGAAAUUCCCUAACAAGUUAAAAAGUGAAUCGAGCAUUUUUAAUGAUAUUAAAAGUCCUAUAUAGUUAGAACAGAACGAUAUAUAUAUAAUUCAUAAUAAUAAUAAUAGCAUGUCAGAAAGUAAAAGAAAGAAAAACAAAUGAUAAUAAAAAAAUAAAAAAAUAAAAAAANNNNNNNNNNNNNNNNNNNNNNNNNNNNNNNNNNNNNNNNNNNNNNNNNNNNNNNNNNNNNNNNNNNNNNNNNNNNNNNNNNNNNNNNNNNNNNNNNNNNCGUCCUCAUCUUGCUUGUUUCGGAAAAUCCACUUGGUGCCGAUGAUGUUAUGCUUGCGAGGAUCUGGUCGUUUGACGAGCUCCAUACGUCAUUCAGCUUGAAUUGAAGAAGUUCGUCUUGCAUGGCUUGGAUCCACUCUGGUUCCAGAAAUGCCUCAGCUACUUUUGAGGGUUUUGUGAUAGAUACAAAAGAAAAAUUCCCACAAAAGUUAACUAAGUGUGAAGCUUUUGAGCGAGUGAGAGGACCUGGCGCGUUGAUGUCGUUGAGGAUUUUGUCAAGUUCUACUUCAUUUGCAAUCCUCGGAUGAGCUGGUUGAGGAUUUUGUCUGGGCUGAGGAAGUGGUGCUGUUACAAUUUCCUCAGGAGCAUCUUCUUGUCUUUCAUCAGCGAUGGGGAUCGUUUCUUCGUCAAUUUCCUCAGUGGGGACAAUGUCUUCAGUAGGCUUAAGCUUUAUUGCUUCUUCAGGAGACAGCUUAUCUGGAUCAGAAGGCAAUUUCUCUGUUUGCGAGCCAUUAGUUUCAUCGAACUGCACAUCUACAGUCUCAACAACUUUGUUGUGAUAGUUGUUGAAGACUCUAUAGGUGUGCGAGUCCUUUCCAUAACCGAGCAUAAAACCUUCAUGUGCCUUAGGUGCAAAUUUUGAGCUAUGAUGAGGAUCUCUAAUCUAGCAUUUUGCGCUGAAGACUUUGAAAUAACUUACAUUGGGUUUCUUGUCAGUGAGGAGUUCAUAUGAGGUUUUCUUGAGGAAUUUGUGAAGAUAUACCCUGUUGAUGAUAUGGCAUGCAGUAUUGAUUGCUUCAGCCCAGAAGCGACGAGGAGUCUGAUAUUCUUCAAGCAUAGUUCUUGCCAUCUCAACCAGAGUCCUGUUCUUUCUUUCGACGACACCAUUCUGCUGAGGAGUAUAAGGAGCAGACAAUUCGUGAGUAAUACCAAGUUCAUCAAGAUAAUCAUCAAGACCAGUGUUUUUGAACUCAGCUCCAUUAUCACUCCUAAUAUGUUUGAUCUUGAUGCCGAAGUUCGUCGAGGCCCUUGAAGAAAAUCGUUUGAAGAUUUCCCGCACUUCAGUUUUAUACACUAUGAUAUGCACCCAAGUGUAUCUGGAAUAAUCAUCAACUAUGACAAAGCCAUAUAGAGAUGCUGCAUUGGUUAGUGUUGCAUAGUGUGUAGGUCCAAAUAAAUCCAUAUGAAGCAAUUCAAAUGGACGUGUAGUGGUCAUGAUGGUUUUGGAGGGAUGCUUGGAUCUGGUCAUUUUCCCAGAUUCACAAGCACCGCAGAGAUGAUCCUUGAGGAAUUUGACAGAUUCGAUGCCAAUGACAUGCUUCUUCUUUGCAAGUGUGUGCAAAUUCCUCAUGCCUGCAUGACCUAGUCUUCGGUGCCACAGCCAUCCUUCUGAGGUUUUUGCUAGUAAGCAAGUGGCUGGUUGAGGACCUAUAGAGAAGUCAACAAUGUACAAAUCCCCUCUUCUUACACCUUCGAAGACUUUGGAUCUAUCAGAUUCCAUGAUGACUACACAUCUAUAUCUACCAAAGAUAACAAUCAUAUCAAGAUCACAAAGCAUAGAGACUGACAUGAGGUUAAAACCAAGGGAUUCAACAAGCAUCACUUUGUCCAUAUGCCUAUCCUUGGAAAUAGCUACUUUGCCAAGUCCCAAUACCUUGCUUUUACCUUUGUCAGCAUAUGUGAUUUGCUUCAGAGGUGAUGGAGUUAGUGGCAUAUUCAUCAGUAAGCUUUUAUCACCAGUCAUGUGAUGUGUGCACCCACUAUCGAGAACCCACUCAGUAUUUUUGGGUUUGUCUUCCUGCAGAUGAAUUAGUACAGCUUACCAUCUCAUAUGCUUCAGAUUUGAAGAAUAUGAUACUAAUUUCAUCAGUUCAGUAAUUUCAUCAUAACAGAAAUGUAAGGACGUGUGAAAUAUUUCUAUUUCAUCAAUCAUUAGCUUGCGUCCUAUCAAGCAUUUCCUCAGGUCUCCAGCAAAUUCUUCAGAUGAUGAUUUUCAUCUGGAGACCUGACCUGCAGAAGUGAUUAGUUUGAUUUCUUCACCACCCACAUCUGAAGGGGUGGCAAAGCGUUCAUCAUCCUGCGAGCACCAUAUGAGAAAGGUUGCAUUGAAGCUAAUGCACUUCUCUUAACAGUAGGGGGGUUAAAGUACUCAUAUGAGUAUGCAGAGAACUGGUUUGAGGAUUUAUGAACAUAAUGAUUUGAGGUGUAGCACUCAUAAUCAUAUUCCUUGUAGUUUCCCUGCAUGUUGGAUGCAUAAGCAUGGGUACGAGCAUAGUUUUGACCAGUUGAGGAUUUUGAUCCUCUUGAAGACUUUGGUCCUCCUGAGGAAUUUGAUCUGGGGUUCAGAUUCUUCAGAGGUGAUGUCAUGAGGACAUUCACUUGAAGAUUUUCAAGACAACUUUUGGGAACCCAGAUUUUCCUCAGAGGAGGGCCAUUCCUGUAGUUAGUUCCAACAUAUCGAGCAAAUACUUCACCAGAUUGAUUUUUGAACAGUUUAUAGUUGGAAUCAAAUGACUCAUCAGAGGAAUAGGAUAAUUCACAUGAGAAGCCAGUUAGAUUAGAUGGAUCAAAAGGAGGCCGAGUAGCAGCAACCCAUGAGGUUUUGGGAUACUGCUCAGGUUUCCAAUAAGAUCCAUCAGGAUCCAAUUUCCUCUCAAAGGCAAUUCCUUCUUUCCUUGGGUUCCUGUUCAAGAUCUGCUUUUUGAGCACAUCACAAAGGAUUUGAUGUCCUUUGAGGCUUUUGUACAUGCCUGUCACGUACAAUUCCUUCAACUCUGCAUUUUCAUCAGUGACAUUUAUGUUUUCCUCAAGUGAGGAAAUAGACACAACAGGUGCAGUUGAAGAAUUUGUAGCAGUGGUAGCAUUUGAAGAUUCUGGUGAAGAAUUAGCAGUUUCACGAUCAAUGCAUUUAAGACAUGGAGGAAUAAAUUCAACUUGACUAGCGCUGAUCUGUUGAGCUAGUAAUGAAUCAUUUUCGAUACGAAGAUCAUCAUAAGACAUCCUCAGCUUCUCAAGAUCAAGCUUCCUUUGAAGAAAUUCGUAGGAAAGCUUCUCAUGAUCAGUGAGGAGUGUAUCGUAACGAUCCUGAAGAAUAUCAAAUCUAGACUGAAGAUUUUUCAUGUCAUCAGCGAGGAUUUGAUUAAGAUUCAUUUCAUCAUUCAACAGAUCAUCACUUUUGUCUAGCAGUUUUUGAAGCUUUUCCAGAGUAGUUUGUUGUUUAGUGGCAAUGAUGGCAAGUUUACUGUAACUGGGUUUUUUGUAAUCAUCAUGUUCACAGUCACUUGAAUCAGAGGAGGAGGCAUUAUGUGAUACCUUUGAACCUUUUGCCAUGAAGCAAUAAGUUGGAGCAAAGUCAUCGGCAUAGUCGUCAGUAUGGAUGGUACACUCAUUUUCUUCAAGAUUGAAGAUUGACUUGCUGACGAAAUUUGUAGCUGGUGCAAUACUAGCCUGUCCAGAUUCUGAAUCUUCUCCAGAGCCUUCUUCAUCAUCACAUUCUUCUGAUUCUGCCUCAGAAUCCAUUUCCUUGCCAAUAAGUGCCCGAGCCUUUCUGAAGCUAGUCUUCUUGUGUGAGGAGGACUUUGAAGAUGAGGAUUUUGAAGAUUUCUUCUUCUUCUUUGAGUCAUCAGAACUGUCAUCCUUGUAUUUCUUCUUCUUUGAUUCCUUUCCCCAGCGAGGACAAUCAGCAAUGUAAUGACCUGAUUUCUUGCACUUGUGACAGGUCCGUUUCUUGUAGUCCUCAGAUGCAGAUUCUGAUUUCCUCAUGUCUCUUCUUGAUGAUUUACCGAACUGGCCUCAUCGUGUAAAUCUCUGGAAUUUCCUCACAAGCAUUGCAAGUUCCUGACCAAAUUCUUCAGGGUCACAACUGUUGUCAUCUGUAUCUUCUUCUUCUGAUGAGGAAAUUGCUCUUGCCUUCAGUGCACGUGGUCUGGAAUAGCUUUGUCCAUAUAGAUCUCUCUUUUCUUCUAGCUGGAAUUCAUGAGUAUUUAGCCUUUCGAGGAUAUCAGCAGGAUCUAACAUCUUGUAGUCUGGUCUUUCUUGAAUCAUCAGAACUAAAGUGUCAAAUGAAGAAUCCAAAGAUCUCAGCAGUUUCUUCACAACUUCGUGAUCAGUGAUGUCUCGAGCUCCCAGUGCUUGCAGUUCAUUUGAUAUGUCAGUGAGGCGAUCAAAGGUGUCUUGGCAGCUUUCAUUGUCAUGUCUCUUGAAGCGAUUGAAGAGAUUGCGAAGAAUAUCAACACGAGAGUCACGUUGGGUUGAUACUCCUUCAUUUACCUUGCACAGUCUCUCCCAGAUCAGUGUUGCAGAGCCUAAGGCACUUACUCUUCCAAACUGGCCAGGGCUCAGAUGACAACAGAUGAUGUUCUUCGCUUGAGAAUCAAGUUGCUUGAAUUUCUUCACAUCAGCUGCAAUGACACUAGCAUAAAUGAUGGGGACACCAUUUUCCACAAUAUACGAGAGAUCAUUGUCUAUAGCUUGCAGAUGCAUUUGCAUUUUGUUCUUCCAGAAGGGAAAGUUCUUUCCCUCGUAGGUAGGACAUGCUGCAGUCACCUUAAACAUGCCUGCAGUCGACAUAACUAAAACUCCAGGUGGUUAGACCAAAAUCACACAGAACAAGGGAGUACGUUGCUCUGAUACCAAUUGAAAGUGCGUUAUAUCGACUAGAGGGGGGGUGAAUAGGAGAUUUUUAGAAUUUCAUCACUGAGGAAAUUCCUUUUGAGGAAAUUCCUCACUGAUGACUAACUUACAGCGGAAACAGUUAAGGAUCAGUCGUGCAAUCGUUCACAACAGCAGUAUUACAGAGUGAAGAUUAUCAAAAUGGAUUGCAUAGUAAGCAGGCACACAGAAUACAGAUGAUCAUUAACUCAAGUGAAGAAUUUGGGGUUGAGGAAAUUCAGAGAAAGUCUUCAGCAAAUUCUUCAAACAGUCACAGUGAAUGUCAUCAACACAUAAUACAGAGAAUGUAAAGAGUUGAGGAAUUAGAACCUGAUUCUUGGUGAAGACUGUUGUUGAUGUCCCAGUUCCAACUGCUGUGACAGUUGUACAUCUGGUUUGGAGCGGCUUGGUAUUUAAACCAAAGGACACCCAGUCCCGGGACACACAGUCCCUACCGUAUUCUCCUUGAGCUAAGGACACACAGUCCUCGCCCAACACUCGUGGUAAGUCUUCAGGGCAGACUUCCAAACCCUCACAAACUCGGUCACCCGGCGAUCCACAAUUGACUGCUGGAUUGCUCUAGACCAUGACGCCUAACCGUCUGGAGGAUGCACAGUCCUCAAAGGUAAAAGGCUUCAGUCCCACACAGGAACAACUUCUUCAGUGAUGCUCAAUCACUAGGUUUGGUUUGUGGUUUCGGUGGGUGGUGUAUUUCCUCACUGAUGAUUUACUCUCAUAGGCUCUGAGGAAUUUGGAUUGCUCUUAUGACAAGUGUCAGUUUCUAACGGAGCAGCCAACUAGCUAGUGGUUGUGGGGGGCGGCUAUUUAUAGCCUGGGAGCAUCCCGACAUGAUUUGACAUUAAUGCCCUUAAAUAAUAUGACCGUUGGAGUGGAUAAGACCAGUGACUUGGCGUGGCUAUCGAAACGGUCGGGACCCUCAACUGAGAGAGUCCUCAUGUCACUCAUAUUCCUCACUUGAGGCUUUUGGUAGGAUUUGGCUUGGGUUGAGCAUCAUGAGGAAAUUCAUUCCAUAGCGUUACUUUGACCCCCUUUAACAGUAUGGUGUUCCUAUUCAUCAAAUGGGAAGAAAGUAAAACAGAAAACGUAAAUCUUCACGCUUCAAUUUCUUCAAAAUCAUUUUCUUCACGAACCACCGAUCUUCUCAAUAUCCAUAUCUUCAUGAGGAAUAUCAAUUUCAUCGCAGAUUCCUCGUGAUUCAUUUCUUCAGCUUCAGACCAAUUUCUUCAACUGAAGACAUUCAUUUUAGGGGUCGAUAUUCUUCAAAUAUCUCAAACUCCUCAAUGACUUAUAGAUCAUGUGUACACUCAACAACACAUUAGAUACUUAACCUAUAAGUCUUCAAACCACCAAAAUCACUAAGGGGCACUAGAUGCACUUACAAUCUCCCCCUUUUUGGUGGUUGAUGACAAUUAGGUUAAGUCUUCAACAGGGAAUAAAAAUGUGAAGUGUAAAUACUCAAUUGAGGAAUUUGAAGACAAGAUUCACAGAGACUCCCCCUGAAGAUGUGCAUACCUUGAGGGUUUUGCUUUUAUAGCAUAUGCACAUUGAUGAUUUAUAUCAUAGAGAUCUCCCCCUGAAUCUUGUAAAUCAUGCAUACAUAUAAUAUAUUAUAUGAAGAAUAUGAAGAUGCAUGAUGGCAAAUGGUAUCUGACGAAUUCCAGCAUGCGUGCAUUGAAACUUGAGGAAUAAGCAUGCGAAGAAAAACGUUCAAAAGGCGUCAGAGUACCAUCGGGCUUAAGUUACAACUCAUUACAUAAAAACUUCAGAAGAGCCAAGAGUUUGUAACUUAAAUAUAGUUCAUAAGCCCAAAAAAUAAAUCCCGUUUGAAGACUAACUCUCAAGUUUCUCCCCCUUUGUCAUCAAGUGACAAAAAGGGACAAACUGAGGACUAACGCCCGUGAAGACUUCAUUUCUUUGCGGUUGAUGAAGAUCCUUGGAGCUUCUUGGGUGUAGUCUUCUUCCUUGGGCCUGUUGCGGUGUCGAGCUUUUCCUCAUCAGAUUCGGCGGUGCGGAAGGACGAGAAGGAGCUGUCUUCAAGAUCUGGCACUGGAAUGGGCCUGAACUUCUUCUUGGGAGGCCACGACCAGUCAAAGUCCUGCUCAAAGUUCAAUUCUUCAAGCUCAGUUUGGGCUUCAGAUGUGCAAGGGUAGCCCAGGUGCGAUCAAAAACCUCAUGCAGAUAUUGAUGAUUAAGUUUCACAGAGUUCUGUGUCUCAGUGAGGGUUUUGACAAUGGCACCAAAUUGGCGUUUGACCCAUUUGUGGUUGUGAUCCACCUUCUGAUGAAGACUGAGGAGAAGCUCUCUGGUGUUUAGCACGCGAGGAGGAACAUGGCUUGGUGGACGAGUCUCAGCAUCGUCCCAUGAGGAAUAUGCAUCUGGCUCUUUAAAUUGACCAUCAAGAGGCCUGCUGCCUUCAUCAAUCACAGACUUUCCUUUUCCCUCAAUGGGCUCGAAAGUCUUCUUGUUGACCCGGAUAGGAGGCAUAUAACCAACAUGGUUCUGGAAGUCUGCGUGGAAGUUGAUGCCUGUCCUUGUCCUGAGGAAUCUCAUGAUCCAUGGUGCAUAAAUUUUGUGAUCAUAGGGGCACAUUGCAUUGUCAGCCAAAGUCCUCAAGAAGAAAUCAUGGAUAUUCAUCGGGAUACCGUGAAUGAUGUUGAAGAGGAUAUUCUUCAUGAGGCCGACGACAUCUUCUUCAUCGUCAUGGCCUUUGAUGGGCGCGAGCACACUGCAGAGAAUGCGGUAGACAGACCGGGGUGUGUACUUGAGCUCAUGGAUGAGGAAUGUGGUUCUUGAGGGCUUUCCUGCAGCCAAAGGCUUCAUGAGGACUUCCAUCAUUCCAUUUGGUAGCUCACGCUCACCAUAAAGCUUCACUGCCCCUUCUGAAGGAAUUGGUACGGGCAGUUCUCUGAGGAGUUCAGACGCUGGAGCCUUGUAGUGAUUGUUUUGGGUCAUCCAGUCGAACACCCAAGUAUUGAUGUCAUCAGCAUUGCCCGAAAUAUGCAGAGUUGCAUAGAACUGAAGAAUAAGCUCACUAUUCCAAUCUGAUAUGUCGGAGCACAUAGGGAGCAAACCUGCAUCAUGGAGUACACUGAUGACUGGUUCCAUGCAGGGAAUUUUUCAAGUUCAUCAUGAGGAAUGUGCCUGUGCUGGAAUAUCUUGUUGCAUCCACAGAGCACAGAAGCAUAGUAGUUCAUCUGAGUCCUUGUCCAAAACUUCAGAUGCCUCAUUUGAGGCUUGUCAUAAGGAUUCUCUCCGAUGAAAUACAUGCGUUCCUCAAAGAAAUUUUCUUUCUGAAACUUGGGCCGCUUUGAGAAUGGCUGGCGUUGAACUGGCUCGAUAGUGUGCUGAGGAAUGGGUGGGGAAACAACCAUGGUAGUCUCUGGGUUGAGCACAAUGAAUUCAUUGUCAGGGACGAGAACAUUUUCUUCAGCAGUGUCCUCAGAUUGAGGAAUUUCAUCAGCUGGUAUUUCUUGCUCUGGCUGAGCUUCAGGCUGAGGAAUUUCUUCUUCCUCCUCAGCUUGAGGAGUUUGGUUAGCCGGUUCAGUGGGAGGAGCCUGCUCAGACUGGACAUAUUCUUCAGCUUGUUUUUCAUCAGCUGACUUUGUGGCAGAAGCAGAUUCAUCAGCUGCUGCAGCUGAAGCUUGAGUAGUCUCUUUCUGAGGAAUAUGAGGUUGAGGACUGUCAUCAAUCUUUAUUUCCUCAUCAGUAUGCUCCUCAGAGACAGCAUCCUUCAUUUCCUCAUCUGCCCUUGUAGUUUGGUCACCAAUGACGACCAUUUCAUAUGAAGGUGCAACAUUUAGAGGCACCGGGUCCAGAGGGGCAGAUUCUUCAGUUUCCUUGAGGCGUUUUGCCUCGAUCUUUUCUUCUGCUGAGGAAGCUUUUCUCUUCUUCGCUUCCUUCUUAGCAGCUCUUGUCUUUUUCGCAUCUGAUGCAUACGAGAUUAACUUCUUCACCUUUGAAGCUUUUGGUGAAGGUGUUUUCUCGACAGAUUCUUCAGCUGGCAGUGAGGAACCAGCUGGAACAGAGUCAUCAGCCUGCUUUGGUGAAGCAGCUGGAUCAGGAGCAGUUGCAUCAGGGGUUGCAGUUUCAUCAGUGGUGGUCUUGGUGAUGAUUUCUUCAAUGGCCGGCUCAUCAGCUCGGCGCUCUUGGUGUUGUUCCUCACUUUGAGGAAUUUCCUCCUCAUCAGGAGAUGCAUCUUCUGGCUGUUCAACCAGGGGCUGAGGAGUUGGUGCUGGUUGUGGGUGUCGCUUGUUGUAGUCAUCAAAAGCACUAGUGUCUAGCUUGAUGAAAUUGCGUUUGAUGCUAGUGCGGUCUGACAGUUUCUCACACUUGUCAGUCAAGACUUGCAGCUCUACGUGGGUGGACACCAAUGCGUGAGGCGUCAGCUUGAGGACAUUUUGCCUGAGGAAUUUCUCCUUUCUGGCCUUUGCAAUCUUUGCCUGCUUGGCCUUCUGUUCCUUCCACUUGGCUUCGUUUAUGAAGGUAGCCACCAUGUGGCUGACGCCAGGAGGAAGUUUCAAAUCAUCAAUGGGUGUGUUUGGGUCUUCAUACCAUACAUUGAUGAAGUCGAGGAGGACCUUGGGGUCCAUGGCCAGAGGAAUAGCACUGCCUGAUGCUUGUGCUACCCGUUCUUGCUUGUUUCUGAUGAUGGCUUGCAAAGUUUCAUCAUCAUACUCAUCACUUCCCUCUGAUGCAGACGGGACUGCGAUGAUUUUGCUGGGGCUGGGCAGAGGUGCAGGUUCAGUAAUUGUCAAAGUCUUCACAAGGGGAGUUGAAGACUUUGUCUCCGAGCUCGUUGCAGCUGGGAGUGAGGAGCUGGAGCUGGCAGUCGUAGUCUUCACGACUUUCUUCUGUACUGGGUUUGGAGGUGGAGCUGAGGACUUUGGUGUAGAUGAGAUGGGUGCUGAGGGUUUUGGCGCUGAUGGUAUUGGAGUUGACGGUUUUGGAACCGAGGGUUUUGGAGCUAAGGAUUUUCGAGCUGAGGGUUUUGUGACAGAACCCUGUCCAGACUUCUCUUGAGGCUUUGGAGCCUUUGCCUUUGAUGGCGCAAACUGCUUUUGAGGAAUCUCUGAGCCUGAAGUUUCUGCUGCUGAGGAAUGAGCAGCACCGGAGGCAGCAGCUGAGGAUUCAUGAAAUUUCUUCACUGUUGUUUUGGCUUGCUUCUUGAGCUUGGCCAGAUGCCUUUCUUUUUCAUCUGGGUAGUCAUCAAGUGUCAUAAGACUUGAGGGAUGAGCUACUUGAUGAUCCUCAAGUGGAGCCCUUUUGCUAGGAGGCUUCAAAGCGAAUUUCUUCGCAUAUGUUGGGGUCACAAACCUGUACUCCUUCCACUCCUUUGCCCAUCUGCGUUCAAUUUUCUGCAGCCUGAUCUUUCUUUUAGGCAUUGUCUCAGGUUCAUCAUCAGGCGUGCAAUAGUCCAUGUAUAUGUCAUCAGGAAUAUCAACAGCUGUGUUCUGCUCUAGUUUCUUUCCUCCCUUCUGUUUCCUUUCUUCCUCCAUUUUCUUCAGACGAGGAUUUUGCUGAUGAUUUUGAACUCUUGAAGAUUCUGAUGAGCCUUGAAGAGUUUCUUCCAGAAACGCUGCAAAUGAGUUAAUGUGAUGAGAACCGAGAGAUUCAUCAGCUGACAUGUGUGUACCUGUGAACAGAGUAUAGUUGCGAGGAAUUUGGAGAGGUCAUAUGCGUUCUCAGAUUUUAAGAAAAUGAAAAAGUUUGACAGUUUGAGGAAUAUAACCAGUGGUUGAGGAAUUUGCUUAAGCAUACUGUUCUUGGGUUCCAGAGUUGUACAGAUCCGUAAAUUCGCACAAUUGAGGAAUCUCAUGAAAAUCUUAGAUGCUUAGCUAGUUCAUCAAUGAUUGUGGUGAUGGAUAGUGUUUGAGGAAUCAUGUGCGCAUUGUAUCUUGAGGAAAAAACAGAUUUCACAUGGGAGAGGUAAAAUUUCAGAUCUAAUCUGCUGUAAAAAUGGGAUAUAUUUACCCUGGAAGGUGCGAACGAAGAACACAAAAAGGUGGUGUUGGAGAGGCUCUUCGGUCAAGUGUCCAAUGCACCCUAACUUGGCAGCAGAGGACGUCUACGGCGGCGGCGGACGUAGAUGUUCUGACUCCGGCGUGAUCCUGGCGGCGAGAAGGUUGAGGCAGUGAAGCUCUUCCUUGCCGGCGACAAAACAACCAGCGGUGGCGCUAGGGUUCGAUGGAGAGUGUGAUGGCAGGAGAGCGAUGAGGCGAAGAAGAAGAUACUGAAGGGGUUAAGGACAUAUUUAUAGCCCGAAAGUUACUGUUUGGCGCAAAAGUUUCGGACCGAAUAGCCCUUGCCUCUACGUCUCCGCAGGACACGUGUAGCUCCCAUACGAUGCGGUGGAGAUAGUGGAGAUCGUGGUUAUCCGAUCGUGGGAAGUGGGGGUUCAGUUACUGUUCCUUUGAAGAAAACGAUUUUUGAGGAUUUUUGUUACAAAAUCAUCAGCUGACAAGGAUGCAGUGAGGAUUUUGAACAAAGUUUCAAGUAGAACGCAUAUGAAGAAUUGAAUAGACUGGGUAAGUAUAGCAUAGAGAGAAAGUAGGGUCCGAUCACAUUCACUUAGCAGAAACAUCAACUUGAAGAAAUAGCAAUAAGUGAAUGCUAUUGAGGACUAGAAAUCACAGUCUACCUAGGCAAAUGAAAGUCAUCAUGUUUUUUUUUAAGAUUUUGCAGUAGAUCAUCACAAUGAAGAAGAGCUGUUUUGAAGAAAAAUGCAUUGUGACGAAAUUGAUCAUUUGAAGAAAAUCAACUUGAGGAAUGUCACAUUGGGUGGUGGCGUUACCCACCCUAUAAGAAUGUUGAUUACAGACGCCGCGUACAAUUGUCGUAGGGCCCUGAGAAUCAAUUUCUUCAUUAAUUUCUUCACAUUCAGAGUGACUUUCUUCAUUGGUUGAAGAAAAUCGUUUCAUCAUGUGUUGCACAUCUAAGUCAUCAACUUUGCAUAAGUGUUAGGAUGUGUGCAUGUUUUUACAAAACAUUUGACGACUCUAAGAUAUUUAGCUCACACCGCAACUUGCAAAACCUUUUCUCAUCCAAGGGCUUAGUGAAGAUAUCAGCCAGUUGAUUAUCAGUCUUCACAUGGUCGAUGAGGAUAUUGCCCUUGAGGACAUGGUCCCGAAGAAAAUGAUGACGAAUUUGGAUGUGCUUGGUCUUCGAGUGUUGUACUGGGUUAUAUGCAAUCUUGAUAGCACUCUCGUUGUCACAGUAGAGAGGCACAUUCUUCAUGUUGAUGCCGUAGUCCUUGAGGGUUUGCUUCAUCCAUAGUAAUUGAGCACAGCAAGAACCAGCAAUGUACUCAGCUUCGGCAGUGGAGAGUGAUACGCAGUUCUGCUUCUUUGACGACCAGCAAACUAGUGAUCUUCCGAGGAAAUGGCAUGUGCCAGAUGUUGACUUGCGAUCCACACGGUCACCAGCAUAGUCUGAAUCAGAAUACCCUACCAGAUGAAGAUUGGAGCCCUUGGGAUACCAUAAUCCUAGUGUUGGUGUGUGAGCUAAGUAUCGAAGAAUAUGUUUCACAGCCUUAUGGUGUGAUUCCUUCGGUUUUGCUUGAAAACGUGCACACAUGCAAACACUAAGCAUUAUAUCUGGCCUAGAUGCACAUAGAUACAAUAAAGAGCCAAUCAUAGAACGGUAUACCUGCUGAUCGAAAUCUUUACCAUUUUCAUCAGUGCCGAGGUGACCGUUGGUAGGCAUUGGAGUCUUGGCACCUUCACAUUCAUGCAUGUCGAAUUUCCUCAGAACAUCCUUGAGGUAUUUCUCCUGUGAUAUGAAGAUUCCAUUGUUUUGUUGACGAAUUUGAAGACCUAAGAAGAAUUUCAGCUCCCCCAUCAUGGACAUCUGAUAUUCUUCACUCAUCAUAUAGGCAAAUUCAUCACUAUAUCUUUUGUCAGUACAACCAAAUAUGAUGUCAUCAACAUAUAUUUGACAUACAAACAGCUCAUUAUCAUAAGAUUUUGUGAAAAGAGUUGGAUCGAGUGAACCAGGUUUGAAGCCUUUCUUCAUGAGGAAUUGCUUCAAUGUAUGAUACCAUGCCCGAGGGGCUUGCUUGAGGCCAUACAGAGCCUUUUUGAGUCUGAAGACUUUGUCUGGAUUCUUUGGAUCCUCAAAACCUGGGGGCUGAGCAACAUAUACUUCUUCCUCAAGCUGACCAUUGAAGAAUGCACUUUUCACAUCCAUUUGAUAUAAGAUGAUGUUAUGAUGAUUAGCAUAAGCAAGUACCAUUCAAAUAGCUUCAAGUCUAGCAACAGGUGCAAAAGUUUCAUCGAAAACUAUUCCUUCAACCUGGGUGUAGCCUUGGGCUACAAGUCGUGCCUUGUUCCUCACCACUUGACNNNNNNNNNNNNNNNNNNNNNNNNNNNNNNNNNNNNNNNNNNNNNNNNNNNNNNNNNNNNNNNNNNNNNNNNNNNNNNNNNNNNNNNNNNNNNNNNNNNNAGCUAAUUAUGUCAUUAGAUGGAAGUCUAGCUAUUUUUUAUUAAAACACUAGAAAUAACAUACCUAAGUUAGGGUGAAGCACGGUGGCUCUGGCUUGUUUCACCUGUAGAAGGCUGCCCUGGAGAAGGCUCGACUGUAAAAGGGUCGUGCGAUGCGUUUCGGGACAUAUUCUGCACCAAACGUCGUUUGCAAUGUGUAGUUAGCAUGAGGACACUCUUAAGAUCACUCCACUGAAAUGAAACUCACCGUCCCCGCCACGUUAAUGACUGGCAUCGGCGGAGGGACUUGGCCGUUCUUCUCGCACAUAGACUGUACAUUUUGGUUUCGACAGGUCAAACUUUUUAUUUAUUAAUGAAACGGACAUUCAAAUGCAAGAUUUUAAAUAACAUGAAGAAGAAACUUACCACGAAGAGCUCGUAUAUGGCCCUGGUAGACGCUUCAUUCCGUGCCCUCUCCGCCUCCACCAAUGCAGUCGUCCUCUCCUCCAGCUCCCUAAUUUCCUUAUCCUUCUCCGCCAUAGCCGCCUGCAUUGCCGCUCUCUCUUUCUGAAUAGCAGCCUGCAACACAACUCAUUGUUAGCAAUGUAAUCAUAUUGGUUCCAACUCACAACAUAAUGCGGAAAGAUAGUUGAGUCCAUUAAACUAACCUCGAUGGCGAGCUCGACUGGCCGUGGACGACGUGUUAUCUCCGGACAAGAGCUCGUUUGGCGUGCCUUUAUCUGCCGGAGAGUGCUAGGACAACGUAUAAGGCCGUCUCCAAUGGCGAUCGAGCCAUGGGGCCUCCCGUUGCCAGCUAUCAUCACCAGCUCUGGAUCAAUAGGCCCCUCGCUCGGGUUAAAGUCCUCCCCUUUCCUCGCCUUCCCGUGAUCUCUAUACUUCACGAGCUUGUCGUGGGAGGAGAUGUUGGUGAAGUUUUCUGGAUGCUCGAGGUCAGACUCAGAGAAUGCCUUGACCUUCUUGUACGAGGCAGUAUGGGCCAUCGCAUACAGGUCGUACAUCUGUGGCGCCUCCGUCUUAUUGUGACGCGCCUAAAAGAGAGAGAGCAGAAAAUUGUAUUGGUAAAGGGCUCAAGAUAGCAUUAAGAAUGAAUUGCAUGAGGCAUGAAGCAAACCACAUACCCAGUUCUCGCCAAAUUGGAUUAAGUUGACGCUCCCUUGAUGGUGUGGCACGCCAACCAUUUUGCCACGCCUCUCCUUGGCGUUGUUGUGGCUGGUCUCCCACGUUUCGGAGCACCACUGAUCCACCAAGGCCUCCCAACAAUCCAUCUUAUCCACACACCAUCUCGGGGGCACCUAAGUUAAUAAAGAGAAAUUUGAGUGCGUAAGAACCAAAUCAAGGAAACUAACUACAAAGCCUUAAUAAUAUGUAAUUACCUUCAUGUAAUUCUCCUUCUCCAUCUUAGCAUCACGGCACUUCGCCUUAUCAAUCCUAAUACGCCGCGUGGCAUAGUAGUCUCGAACAGCCUGCACCCGAGCCUCGUGCCGAAAGUUUUGAAGUAGGCGGCGACAUUCGGUUUCGAUAACCUUUGCCGCGUCGUCCUCGUAUCCCUCCUCACACUUGUAGAAGGUCUGCAAACGAGACAACACCGAUUAGUACAAUAAAUAGCUAUGGUUAAUUUAUAAUUGUGUGAAAGAGAAAUUACCCAGAACUUUCGGAUCACCAUGUCCGCCCUCGUGUCACACAAAACACCGUCGAUCUCCACCUCCGGCGGGGCCGGGGCACCCAAGUAGUGCUCCCAGGUCAUCCCUACCUCUCGCUCCCGACCGGGCAACGUAACAAACCCUGGGAAGUUUUGACGGCAAAGAACACCAAGGACGCUGUUGGGCUUGCGGACACCCUUGGCAACAAUCCAACCCCUACAGUACGACAAAUUGAAGCCAAAACAUUAGAUAUUUGAGAAAACGCGAAGGCAAAAGGUUAAAUAAGAUUAAAUUAACUUACUUGUCCCCAUUUGGCCUAAUCGACCACCUCUGGUCGGGGGUCGCUGGCACGAGCGGGAGCCCCGAACUACCACGCUGGUAGACGGUAUCCCCCUCACCCAGCUCCUUGUCGCUACCAGCAUGGCCAGUUGGCUCAGGCCAGGUAUCCCACUGGGUCUCUUGGGACGUACCCUCAUCCCUGCUGUGCUCCGCAGUCGUCUGGAAGGAAGCCUCUGGGACACGAGUCUCGUGGGUCGAAGGCUCGUCGACCUGAGGCUCGUCGACCCGAGGCUCGUGAACCGGAGACCGUGUAGCCUCCACCUCAGACGAAUCCACCCUAGAAGUCCUCCUGUGCUCAGGUGAAUCAGCUUGGGGUGGUGGCGGAGACCGUGUAGCCCUACCUCUCAUGCGGCCACGUGUACCUUUAGUACAACAUAAAUACCAACAUGAGUAAUAAAAUGUAUAUAAAUACCAAUAUGCAUACAACAUGAGUACAACAUAAAUACCAACAUGAAUACAACGUGUACCUUUAGUGCCUCUCGGCUUCGCGGGUGGUCGACCUCCUCUCACGGGGGGCGCUCCGUGCAUAGUAGAGAGCAACACUCUCCGAAGAGGCGAGGCAGGAAUGGAAGUACCCAUCCCAUCACCCGCCGACGAAGAAGCAGCCGCGGCGUGCUUUCGACCCUUUCCCACCAUCUUUCAACACCUGUCAUGACAAAGAGUAAAUAAAAUUAGUACAACAUAAAUNNNNNNNNNNNNNNNNNNNNNNNNNNNNNNNNNNNNNNNNNNNNNNNNNNNNNNNNNNNNNNNNNNNNNNNNNNNNNNNNNNNNNNNNNNNNNNNNNNNNNNNNNNNNNNNNNNNNNNNNNNNNNNNNNAUAAAUACCAACAUGACUAAUAAAAAUUGAAUACCUAACAUGAACUCAAAAUUUAUAUAUAGUAUAAUAGUUGAAUACCUGACAUGAACUAAUAACAAUCGUCCUCGUCUAUAUAUGCUUCGGGGACAAUAAAUGCAUCAUGAUCAUCACUAUCAUCAAUAAAUGCAUCAUCAUCAUCACUAUCUAGAAGAACAUGUGGAAGGCCACCAUUAUGUAAUCGGUCAAGAAGUGACAGGUCAUCCGCAGCAGUAACCUCUUCUUCUUCCAGCUCUUCCUGUUCGGGCUCAGGGGUUAAGACGGAUUCACUGUCGCUGUCUACUUCAAUGUUCUGGGGUGAAGUAGAGCNNNNNNNNNNNNNNNNNNNNNNNNNNNNNNNNNNNNNNNNNNNNNNNNNNNNNNNNNNNNNNNNNNNNNNNNNNNNNNNNNNNNNNNNNNNNNNNNNNNNNNNNNNNNNNNNNNNNNNNNNNNNNNNNNNNNNNNNNNNNNNNUCUUGAAACGUUUCUUGGACAUACGUGUUUCUUGGAAGAAUUCUCCUUCAUAUGUGUCUGGGUUAAUGUGAGGUUCGUAAUCCUCUUCAUUGAGGGUAGGUGGUCUAAAAUGUGGUGGCACUUCAUAAACGACAUCCCAACCUUUGAGAUUUGGAUCAGUUUGGCAGGCCCAUGGUAGAUAGAAAACUUGUGUCACCUGUUGAGCCGUGAAAUAGACAUCGGGAACAUCUAAGUGGGUGUUUUGGUUGAUUUCGACUAGUCCUAUAUGUUCAUGAGUCCUUCUAGUCUCCCUCGGCUCAAACCAAUAACAUUUGAAGACUACGACGGUCGGUGGGUUUUCACCAUAGAAUAGAAGUUCAUAAAUUGCUUCAACCCUUCCAUAAUACUCGGUGUCUCCUUCGCCGAUAGCAGAGACAGAACAAUUUGUAGUCUUUAGGUCGGGCAUAGAUAGCUCUUUGCCAAAGGUACGAAAGUGAUACCCGUUGAUGUUGUAUUUGUCAAAUGAACGGACCUUAUAGUCAAAACCAUUAGCGACUUGUCUCAACUCGGCGUCCAUAGACUCUGCAUCAGCCUACAAGUUUAAUACGAAAGAAUGGAUGCAUUAGCCGCAAAUUAUACCAAUAAAUCGAAUGGGCCCUUAAUGGUAAUUGAUUACCCUUUGUUUGAACCAAGAGAUGAAACCAGGAUAGUCGCCUCCAUGCUUUGCGAGAAGCUCAUACUCUUCGACGGAAUCCUUUUCGAUGACCGCUCCAUCCGAGAAUUCGGCGACGUAUCGACUAUAUCAAAUAUCCGGGAAUAAGAGUAGUUCAAAGCAAUUAGAAGUUGUGGAACAAUAAAUUACCGAGAACUUACUCGAUAUACGGCCGCACUUCUGUUAGGUUGGUGAAGAUAUACAAUGAAAUGGUCCGCCAUUCUUCGACAUCCAACGAUUUCCCUUUCGAAGCACCGGAUGGUGCGAGCUUACCUUUGAAUAGGCUGAGGUUGGAUCGAACUUUUUCUCGAUCACCAUUAUUGUACCGAGGCUUCGGGUUAUGGAAAUGAUGAUUUUUGGCUUCGUAGUGUGCUGUCACGAAGUUUGCCGCCUCCUCAGUAAUGAAUGCCUCGGUCAUCGAUGCUUCAAUUCUACGUUUAUUUUUACACUUAGCUCGAAGCGUCUUCUGCAUCCUCUCAGUUGAGUAGCACCAUCGAUUUUGAACGGGCCCCCCAUUCUUGCCUCGGUCGGGAGAUGCAAAAUCAAAUGUUGCAUUGGAUUAAAGAAGCCCGGUGGAAAGAUCUUUUCUAAUUUGCAGAUCAACUCCGGCGCCAACUCUUCCAUUUCAUCUAGCACGCCAGGCGAUAGUUCUUUCGCACAAAGAGAACGGAAGAAAUAGCUCAGCUCUGCCAGUACUAGCCAUUCAUCCUCAGGGAUAAAGCCACGCAACAUCACCGGCAUUACCCGCUCAAUCCAUAUGUGCCAAUCAUGACUCUUGAGCCCAAAUAUUUUCAAUUUCUCAAGACUCGCUCCCCUCUUUAGAUUCGCAGCAUACCCAUCGGGGAACAUCAACCGCAUUUUCACCCACAAUAGCAUUUCCCUCAUAGCUGGCCUUUCAAGAUUGAACCAUGCUUUUGGCUUCGCUAUGCUUUGCUUUCCUUUCCGUUGUCGCAAGUUUUGCAACGGUCUAUCACAUAGAGCCUCCAGGUCGAUUCUAGCCUUAGGAUUAUCUUUUGACUUCCCCUCUAUGCCGAACAAUGUACCAAAAAUGGCCUCCGCAAUAUUCUUUUCAGUGUGCAUCACGUCAAUGUUGUGUGGGCAAAGGAGGUCUUUGAAGUAAGGGAGAUCCCAUAAGCAUGACUUGUGAGUCCACGCGUGUUCCGUAUUUUACCCUUUGAAGUAUCCUGGACGCAAAGGAUCAGGCUCAAGAGCGUUUAACUGAUCAAGGGUCUGUUGGCCUGUCAACGCAGCUGGUGCAGUGUUUUUGACAACUCUACCUUUGAUGAAAUUCUUCUUGUCUUUUCUGAACUUAUGGUCAGGAUCCAGGAAUUGUCUAUGCAUGUCGAAGCAAGAAUACUUGCGACCAGCCUGCAGCCAACGGAACUGAAGAGCUACCUUGCAUGUGGUGCACGGGAACCUUCCAUGCACACACCAGCCAGCGAAUAGCGCAAACGCCGGAUAAUCAUGCGUCGAGUACAUGUACCACACAUGCAUUUUGAAAUUUGUUUUGGUAGCCGCGUCGUAGGUCUUGAUCCCAUUAUCCCAGGCUUCUUGCAACUCAUCCUUAAGCGGCUGCAUGUACACAUUCAUAUUCUUCCCCGGAUAGUUGGGCCCUGGAAUUAUCAACGUCAGGAAAAUGUUCUUUCUUUUCAUAAUCUCUCCGGGUGGCAAAUUUAGUGGAAUGACAAAUACAGGCCAACAACUGUAUUGUGCUGCCGUCAUACCAUACACAUUGAACCCAUCCGUGCUGAUGGCAACUCUAGGUUGCCUUGGAUCUUCCGAUUUAUCCUUAUGUAAUGCAUCGAAGUGCCUCCACGCAAAACCAUCUGAAGUGUGUACCAGCAUCUUGUUCCCAUCCGCAUCUAGUUCGGUUCUUUUGCCCAAUUUGUGCCAUGUCAUCUGUUCGGUCGUCUCUUCGACCAUGAGAAGACGUUGAAGUCUUGGUACGAUUGGCAGAUAUCGAAGAACACUAAUGGGGAUUUUGGUCUGAUUCUUCUCACCCAUGCCGUUGUCUACCACAAUAUACCUUGAAGAAUUGCAAAUGGGGCAAUAGUUCAAGGCCGCAUACUCAAGCCUAAAUAAGGCACAUCCAUUCUCACAGGCAUGUAUCUUCUCAUAGGGCAUCUUAAGUACACGGAGGAUUUUCUCUGACUGGUACAGGUUUCCAGGCAGUACAUGGCCUUUGGGUAGAAAGCGUCCAAAUAUCGUCAUCAUCGCGUCGUAGCAUUCUCUGCCUAGGUUGAAUUGAGCCUUCAAAGCCAUUACUUGCGCGACGGCAUCUAGCUGACAAAGCUCAGUCUGCUCGUGGAGCGGACGUUUUGAAGACUCCAGCAUUUCAUAGAAGGCCUUUGCAGAUUCCUCCAUCUCAUCGUCCGAAUCACGAGCAUCAUCAAAGUCUUGCACCAUGUCUUCAAUCCCGGUACCAUGCUCGUCGGUGCGACGACGAAUCACCUCAGCUCUAGCACGUUGGUCAGACUCACCAUGAAAAGUCCACACCGUAUAAUUAGGCGUAAAACCCCACUUCUGCAAGUGUUUACCCAUUUCAAACUUUGUCUGCUUUUUCCAGUUGUCGCAGUUGGGACAGGGGCACCAUGUUUUAUGCUGGCCAUUUGCAAAUGCGGCUCUCACAAACCCCCUGGUUUUUGUUAACCAUUCAUGGGUCAUGUCUUUCUGACUAGGGUGACCAGUGUACAUCCAAGCACGAUCACUCAUGUUGCCUAGCUACCUAUGGGGGCACAAGAAAUAAAUAUAUAAUUCAUCAUCUAUAUUCAUACGCUAAUCAAGUUUGUCAGUUUUAUUACGUCCAUGCAACCUACACGCUAAUAGGUAAAGAUAGGUCCUAAUCCCACCCGAGUAUGUGUAGACUGGGUUCGUUUUCCCAUGCUCUGCUCCAGAUGCGACGGAGAAUUUCGACAGCACCUCCCCGCUGUUCUUUUGAUACACGUCUCGGCAAUAAGCAGAGAGGAUGUGUACCCGGAGAACAAUAGGGGAGGCACUGACGAAAUUCCGCAUCAGAUCCGGAGCACAGCAUACGGGAAAACAAACCCAAUCUACACAUACUCGGGCUGUCCAUGGAUAAUGUUGGACAAUUCGAAAGGAUGGCGGUUAUAAAUAUGCAAAGAAAUUCAUAUUUAUAGAUGUCGCCCUUUCGAAUGGGAGACACAUACUGGUCACGCAUACUCUUGAUUGAAGAAACCUAUAGCUAGCAAGUUUCAUCGGCACGAAGACCGGGACAGAGCAAAUUAAGGGGGUAGGAGGAGAAGUCAUUUGUGCUCACCAACAACGCAAGGGCGGAGCUCGUCCAACGCACGUGGAGGUCGUCGAACAACUGCACAUUGAAAUUCACCCGAUCAACACAAAUAUGAUGUUUUUAUAAUUAACAUAACUAUAUGACCUAACUCAUAACUAUGUGGGUCAGUGUCAUCGGGGGUCGAAGGUCACUGGCGUCGGGGAUUGGGGUCUUUUCGGUCAACAAGAGGCCGAAGAGGUGUCGGGGCUCGGGGGUUGGGGGUCAGUGGCGNNNNNNNNNNNNNNNNNNNNNNNNNNNNNNNNNNNNNNNNNNNNNNNNNNNNNNNNNNNNNNNNNNNNNNNNNNNNNNNNNNNNNNNNNNNNNNNNNNNNGGGCUCCCUGGAGCCCACCUGGCUUGGCCCAAAAGCCCCCUGGACUUCUUUCGUUCGGGAAAAAAUCAUUUCUGGGUUUUUCUUCCGUUUGGACUCUGUUCCAAAAUCAGAUCUGAAAAGAGUCAAAAACACGAAAAAACAGGAACGGGCACUUGGCACUGAAUUAAUAAGUUAGUCCCAAAAAGAUAUAAAAAGGUAUAUAAAACAUACAAAGAAGGCAAGAUAACAGCGCGAAACCAUCAAAAAUUAUAGAUACGUUUGAGACGUAUCAAGCAUCCCCAAGCUUAACUCCUGCUCGUCCUCGAGUAGGGAAGUGAUAAGAAUGAAUUUUUGAUGCUUUCAUGCUACCUAGCAUAGGUGUCCUUUGUAACUCUUAUGUGACGUGAAUGUUCAGAUCCAUUAGAUUCAAAACAAUAGUUUUCUAUUGACGUGGAAACAAUAAUAAUUCAAGCAAACUAGCAAAGUAAUCAUGAACUUUCAAAAUAACAAGGCCAAAUGAAAGUUAUCCCUACAAAAGCAUAUAGUCUGGCCAUGCUCUAUCAUCAUUGCACAACGAAUUUAAAUCAUGCACAACCCCGGUAUUGGCCAAGUAAUUGUUUCAAACCUUUACUUUCUCAAACAUUUUCAACUCUCACGCAAUACAUGAGCGUGAGCCAUGGUUAUAGCACUAUAGAUGGUGUGGAAUGUAGUGCAGGUUGCAAGACAAAAAAGGAGAAGAUAGUCACAUUAACUAGGCAUAUCAAUGAGCCGUGGAGAUGCUCAUCAAUAGAUAUCAAUGUGAGUGAGUAGGGAUUGCCAUACAAAUGAUGCACUAGAGCUACGAGUAUGUGAAAUCUCUUAAAGAAAACUAGUGGGUGUGCAUCCAACUUGCUUGCUCACGAAGACCUAAGGCAAUUUUGAGGAAGCCUAUCAUUAGAAUAUACAAGCCAAGUUAUAUAAUGAAAAUUUCCCACUAGCUAUAUGGUGGUGACAAAACGAGAGACUCUCAAUCAUGAAGAUCAUGGUGCUUAAUAUGCACAAGUGUGGAAAAAGUGGUAGCAUUGUCCCUUAUCUCUUUUUCUCUCCUUUUUUUGGUGGGCUCUUUGGCCUCUUUUUUUUAUGGUAUUCUUUGGCCUCUUUUAUUUCCUCACAUGGGACAAUGCUCCAAUAAUGAUGAUCAUCACACUUUCAACUCAAAACUUAGAGCAACUAUGACUCUAUAUGGAAUGCCUUCGAUAGUGUACCAUGGCAAUGAUCUAGCAUGGCAUAGACAUCAAUGGAAACAUCAUGCUAGCUAUCUUACGAUCAUGCAAUGGCAAUGUAGACGUGGUGGCACAUGUCAUGGUGGUAGUUGCAUGGCAAUAUAUCUCUGAAUGACUUUGAAAAAUCCAUAGUAGGUAGGUAUGGUGGCUGUUUUGAGGGAGGCUAAUGGUGGGUUUUGUGCACUGGCGAAAGUUGCGCGGUACUAAGAAGAUAGUGAUGGUGGAAGGUGAAAGUGCAUAUAAACCAUGGACUCAACAUUAGUCAUGAAGAACUCAUAUACUUUUUGCAAAAGUUUUAUUAGUAAUUGAAACAAAGCAUUCAACGCAUACUCCUAGGGGAAGGGUUGGUAGGUAUAAACCAUCGCGUGAUCCCGACCGCCACGCAAAGGAUGACAAUCAAUAGACUAAUCAUGCUUAGAUUUCAUCACAUAGCGGUUCACCAUACGUGCAUGCUACGGGAAUCACUAACUUCAACACAAGUAUUUCUAGAUCCACAACACCUUACUAGCAUGACUUCAAUAUUACCAUAACCACAACUCAAAACUAAUUGAGAUGAAUCAAACUUCUCUAACUAUUCAAUGCACAUGAAGGUGGAAGUUUUCGUAUCCCUUUGGAUAACUACCCCUUUUGAGACUACUCUCAAAGCAUAGAUCAACUACCAAGCCACGCACCACUGUGCUUUAAAAGGUAUAAGUUAAGCACAUAGAGCAAAAGUAUCUAGCUCAAAAGAUAUAAGUGAAGCACAUGUGAGCUGAAUUGUCUACCAAAAGAUAUAAGUGAAGCUCGACAAAAUCACGGUGUGUGCAUGUCUCUCUAUCUAGGUGUGCAGCAAAGAUGAUUGUGACACAAAAUAAAUAAAAGACUCCUACGAUACAAGAUGCUCCCAGCAAAAACACAUAACAUGUGGUGAAUAAUAAUAUAGCCCCAAGUAACGUUACCGAUGGAUUGAAGACGAGAGAGGGGAUGCCUUCCCGGGGCAUCCCCAAGCUUUGGCUUUUAUGGCAUCCUUGAAUCUCUUGCGGUGCCUUGGGGAUCCCCAAACUUGAGAUCUUUCCAAUCUUUAUCUUUUUGUCCAUAAGAACUUCACCCAAAACUUGAAAACUUCACAACACGAAACUUAAACAGAAACUCGUGAUAACAUUAGUACAAGAAAGCAAACCACCACUUCCUUAGGUACUGUAGAAAACUUAAAUUCUACUUUUUCUGAUGUUUGGUUACUGUACUUUCAAUCUUUCAUGGCUAAUACCCCCUGAUACUAUCCAUAGUUUCAUCAAAAUAAGCAAUCAACACAACAAAAACAGAAUCUGUUAACAGCAGACCAGUCUGUAGUAAUCUGUAUAUUUCGUAUACCUCUGUUACUUCAACAAUUUUGAACAAUUAUGACAGUCUGAAUAAUUUGCGUAGCAAUCAGCAGAAAAAAGAAUCAACUCAAAAUCUCUUACAUAAAAAAAUGAAAAUUCUUUUCGUGAGCAGAAAGUUUGUGUCUUUUCCAGCAUGACCAAAUGAUCAUCCUCGAGACUAAUCAUAACGGUUUUGCUUGGCACAACCGCAAAAAGAAACACAAAAAACACAAUGACAACAGAAUUAUGAAAGUGUGGAAAACACAAAACAGAAAGAAAAAGGAUAAGUUCGUUGGGUUGCCUCCCAACAAGCGCUUUUGUUUAACGCCCUUAGCUAGGCGAAAGGUGAUGAAAUCACGUAUAGUCAUCUGUGGUUGUCAAACCAUAGGUAGCCCUCAUCAUAGAUUCAUAAGGAAAUCUUAUUUUAUUUCUAGGAAAUUGCUCCAUGCCCUUCUUCAAAGGAAAUUGAAAUCUAAUAUUCCCUUCCUUCAUAUCGAUGAUAGCACCAAUAGUCCUUAGGAAAGGUUUACCAAGAAUAAUGGGACAUGAAGGAUUGCAAUCUAUGUCAAGUACAAUGAAAUCCACGGGUACAUAGUUCUUAUUUGCAACAAUAAGAACAUCAUCGAUCCUCCCCAUGGGUUUCUUGAUAGUAGAAUCCGCAAGAUGCAAAUUAAGAGAACACUCUUAAAUCUCAUGAAAACCAAGAAUAUCACAUAAAGACUUUGGAAUCACGGAAACACUAGCACCCAAAUCACACAAAGCAUUGCACUCAUAGUUUUUGAUCUUGAUUUUGAUAGUAGGUUCCCACUCAACAUGAAGUUUUCUAGGUAUAGAGAAUUCUAAUUCGAGCUUCUCUUCAAGAGAUUUCAUCAUAGCAUCUACGAUAUGCGCGGUAAAGGCUUUGCUUUGGCUAUAAGUAUGUGGAGAGUUUGCAAUGGAUUGCAUCAAAGAACUGCAUUCAAACAAGGAGCAAUUAUCAUAAAUGAAUUACUUGAAAUCCAAAGUGGGAGUUUCAUUACUACCCAAAGUUUUGACUUCUUCUACUCCACUCUCCACACCUUUAUCAUCAAGAUAGGUGGACUCCGAAUCAUCGGGGCGUUUUUCAACCAAAGUGGAUUCAUAUCCAGCCCCUCCAUAAGUAGGUUUGACACGCGAAAUCAAAGACUCAAGAGGAGACACACCAAGCACUUUAAGAUCUUCGUGAUUUGCAUCACAAGAGCGCACCCUUUUAAACCAUUCAUGUCUAGCGCGAAUUUGGGCGGUUCUUUCUUUGCUCUCAUUCAUGGAGAUACGCAUAGCUUUCAAAGUUUCAUCCAAGUUGAUCUUGGGAGGAGCGCAUCUAACUUUCAAAGCAUCAAUAUCACAAGACAUCCUAUCAAUGCUCUUAGCCAAAUCGUCUAUUUUGAGUAGUUUUUCCUCUAUGGACGCAUUGAAAAUCUUUAGAGAGUUGAUGAACUCUUUGAUAUUACUCUCUAGAUCAGAGGGUAAUUUGUUGUGAUUUCCAUAAGUGUUGCCAUAGGAAUUUCCAUAAUUGUUAGAGGAGUUACUAGGAAAAGGCCUAGGAACAUAGUUUCCUCUAAAAGCAUUGUUGUUGCCAAAAUUGUUCCUACCAACAAAAUUCACGUCCAAACUAGCGUUGCCACUCUCAAUCAAAGAAGAUAGUGGCAUGUCAUUAGGAUCUAUGGUAGCAUUUCUACUUGCAACCAAAUUCAUCAACUCGUCCAUCUUUGCACUAAGCGAAUUAAUCUCUUCUAUAGCGUGCACCUUUUUGCUAGCAGGCGACCUUUCAGUGUGCCACUGAGAGUAGUUGGUCAGGAUAUUGUCUAGCAGUUUUGUAGCGUCUCCUAACGUGAUUUCCAUGAACGUUCCACCUGAGGCGGAGUCCAUGAUAUUGCGAGAAGCGAAAUUCAAGCCGGCGUAAAAGAUUUGUAUAAUCAUCCAUAAACUCAAGCCAUGAGCGGGACAAUUUCUAAUCAUAAGCUUCAUCCUCUCCCAAGAUUGUGCAACGUGUUCAUGAUCAAGUUGCUUGAAAUUCAUGAUAUCGUUACAUAAGGAGAUGAUCUUAGCCGGCGGAAAAUACUUGGAUAUGUAAGCAUCUUUGCACCUAUCCCAAGAGUCGAUACUAUUUUUAGGCAAAGAAGAAAACCAAGUUUUUGCGCGAUCUCGCAACGAGAAAGGAAAAAGUUUCAACUUAAUCACGUUGUUAUCCACAUCUCUUUUCUUUUGCAUAUCGCAAAGCUCAAUGAAGGUAUUGAGAUGGGAUGCGACAUCUUCACUAGGAAGGCCAGAGAAUUGCUCUUUCAUAAUAAGAUUCAGCAAAGCUGCGUUGAUUUCAUACGAUUCCGCACUAGUGGCGGGAGCGAUCAGAGUACUAAUAAAAUCAUUAUUAUUAGUGCUCGAGAAGUCGCAAAGUUUGGUGUUUUCAGACAAGAUGUCUUCAACAAACAAACAAGCACACAAGCAAGUAAGAAACCGGCAAAGGAAAACGGCGAGGUCAAGAGAAAACGACGAAGGAAAAAGGCGAAUGAAAACGGCAAAUGUGAAGUGGGGGAGAGGANNNNNNNNNNNNNNNNNNNNNNNNNNNNNNNNNNNNNNNNNNNNNNNNNNNNNNNNNNNNNNNNNNNNNNNNNNNNNNNNNNNNNNNNNNNNNNNNNNNNNNNNNNNNNNNNNNNNNNNNNNNNNNNNNNNNNNNNNNNNNNNNNNNNNNNNNNNNNNNNNGAAAACGAGAGGCAAAUGGCAACAAAAGUAAAUGCAAGAGAAUAGUUUGUGAGACCUACUUGGAUUGAUCUGGAUUUCUCUUCCUCGGCAAAGGCGCCAGAAAUACUUCUGAUGUUUCAAAAGGGAUCCCCAGCAAUGGCGCAGGAAUNNNNNNNNNNNNNNNNNNNNNNNNNNNNNNNNNNNNNNNNNNNNNNNNNNNNNNNNNNNNNNNNNNNNNNNNNNNNNNNNNNNNNNNNNNNNNNNNNNNNGGCAGCGGCGGCGCGGGGCAGCGGCGGCGCGGGACGUCGGUAGGGUUGGAGUUGGGCUACGUGGGAACGGUUGGAAGGGGGGCGGGGGUGCGCGUGGACGUGGCUAGGCUGCCGGCCCUUUGCCGUCCGCCGCGCUCCUAGGCUGACGGCAAAGGCCCCCAAGGCCGACGGCAAAGGUCCCGGGGGGGGAGGCACCGGGUGGGUGGUUGGGUGGUGGGCCGCCGUCCGCCGUGCUCCCAGGCGGACGGCAAAGGGCCCCAAGUAGACGGCAAAGGGGAGGGGUGUGUGGGGUGACGUUUCGGCCGUUGUGUGGCGGGGCUUUGCCGUCCGCCCUCCCUUUGCCGUCCGCUUAGGGCUCUUUGCCGUCGGCCAGCGGACGGCAAAGAAGUGGCCGACGGCAAAAUAAUCUUUUUCCAUCUGCCACCUCUUUGCCGUCAGCACUGUGGCAGCUGACGGCAAAGAGUACCUUUGCCAUGUGUGAGCUGACGGCAAAGGCCAAGCAGACGGCAAAUUUCUGGAUUCCAGUAGUGUUGAUCCGAUGCUUGAUGAUCACCAUCAUCAGCUUCCACUUCAAUUGGUGUAGGCGUCACAGGAACAACUUCCUGCGCCCUGCUACACACUGGUUGAAGUGAUGGUUCAAUAACCUCAAGUUCUACUACCCUCCCACUCAAUUCUUUCGAGAGAAACCUUUCCUCGAGAAAGGAUCCGUUUCUAGAAACAAACACUUUGCUUUCGGAUCUAAGAUAGGAGAUGUACCCAACUGUUUUGGAUAUCCUAUGAAGAUGCAUUUAUCCGUUUUGGGUUCGAGCUUAUCAGACUGAAACUUUUUCACAUAAGUGUCGAAGCCCCAAACUUUCAAGAAACGACAGUUUAGAUUUCUCUAAACCUUAGUCUAUACUGUGUCAUCUCAACGGAAAUACGCGGUGCCCUAUUUAAAGUGAAUGCAGUUGUCUUUAAUGCAUAACCCAUAAACGAUAGUGGUAAUUCGAUAAGAGACAUCAUAGCAUGCACCAUGCCAAAUAGUGUGUGGCUAUGAUGUUCAGACACACCAUUACACUAUGAUGUUCUAGGUGGCAUGAACUGCAAAACAAUUUCCACAUUGUCUUAACUACGUACCAAAACUCGUAACUCAGAUAUUCAUUUCUAUGAUCAUAUCGUAGACAGUUUAUCCUCUUGUUACGACCAACUUCACUCUGAAACAGAAUUGAACUUUUCAAUAUUUCAGACUUGUGAUUCAUUAAGUAAAUACUCUAGUAUCUACUCAAAUCGUCAUUGAAGUAAGAACAUAAUGAUAUCCACUGCGUGCCUCAGCACCCAUUGGACUGCAUACAUCAAAAUGUAUCACUUCCAACAAGUUACUAUCUUAUUUCAUCUCAAUGAAAACAAGGCCUUGCUCAUGUGGUAUGAUUUGCAUGUCACUAGUGAUUCAAAAUCAAGUGAGUAAAAGAUCCAUCAGCAUGGAGCCUCUUCAUGCAAUUUAUACCAACAUGACUCAAGCGGCAGUGCCACAAGUAAGUGGUACUAUCAUCAUUAACUCGUAUCUUUUGGCACCAAUAUCAUGAACAUGUGUAACACUACGAUCGAGAUUCAAUAAACCAUUGAAGGUGAUUAUUCAAGAAAAUAGAGUAACCAUUAUUCUCUUUAAAUGAAUAAUCGUAUUGCAAUAAACACGAUCCAAUCAUGUUCAUGCUUAAAGCAAGCACCAAAUAACAAUAAUUUAGGUUUAACACCAAUCCCGAUGGUAGAGGGAGCGUGCGACGUUUGAUCAUAUCAACCUUGGAAACACUUCCAACACGUAUCGUCACCUCGCCUUUAGCUAGUCUCCAUUUAUGCCGUAGCUUUCAUUUCGUGUUACUAAUCACUUAGCAACCGAACCGGUAUCCAAUACCCUCGUGCUACUAGGAGUACUAGUAAAGUACACAUCAACAUCAUGUAUAUCAAAUAUACUUCUCUCGACUUUUGCCAGCCUUCUUAUCUACCAAGUAUCUAGAGUUGCUCCGCCUCAGGGACUGUUCCCCUCAUUACAGGAGCACUUAGUCUCAGGUUUGGGUUUAAUCUUGGGUCUCUUCAUUAGUGCAGCAACUGUUUUGCCGUUUCACGAAGUAUCCCUUCUAGCCCUUGCCUUUCUCGAAACUUAGUGGUUUUACUAACCAUGAACUAUUGAUGCUCCUUCUUGAUUUCUACUUUCGCAGUGUCAAACAUCGCGAAUCACUCAAAGAUCAUAGUAUCUAUCCUUGAUGUGUUAUAGUUCAUCACGAAGCUCUCACAGCUUGGUGGCAGUGUCUUUGGAGAACCAUCACUAUCUCAUCUGGAAGAUUAACUCCCACUUGAUUCAAGCGAUUGUCGUACUCAGACAAUCUGAGCACAUGCUCAACGAUUGAGCUUUUCUCCUUUACUUUGUGGAUAAAGAAUCUUGUCGGAGAUCUUGUACCUCUUAACAAGGGCACAAGCAUGAAAUCACAAUUUCAUCUCUUUAGAACGUCACUUAUGUUCCGCGGCGUUUCAAAACGUUUUCGGCGCCUUGCUUCUAAGCCAUUAAGUACUUUGUACUGAACUAUCGAGUAGUCAUCAGAAACAUGCAUGUCGGAUGUUCACAGCAUCCACAGACGACCCUCGAGGUGCAGCACACCGAGUGGUGCAUUAAGGACAUAAGCCUUCUGCGCAACAACGAGGACAAUCCUCGGUUUUACAGACUUAGUCUGCAAAUUUUCCUACUAUCAACUUUCAACUAAAUUUUCUCUAAGAACAUAUAAAAAACAGUAGAGCUAUAGCGCAAGGUACAUCGUAAUUCGCAAAGACCAUUAGACUAUCUUCAUGACAAUUAGUUCAAUUAAUCAUAUUACUUAAGAACUCCUACUCAAAAAGUACAUCUCUCUAGUCAUUUGAGUGGUACAUGAUCCAAAUCCACUAUCUCAAGUCCAAUCAUCACGUGAGUCGAGAAUAGUUUCAGUGGUAAGCAUCUCUAUGCUAAUCAUAUCAACUAUACGAUUCAUGCUCGAACUUUCGGUCUCAUGUGUUCCGAGGCCAUGUCUGCACAUGCUAGGCUCGUCAAGCUUAACCCGAGUGUUCCGCGUGUGCAACUGUUUUGCACCCGUUGUAUGUGAACGUUGAGUCUAUCACACCCGAUCAUCACGUGGUGUCUCNNNNNNNNNNNNNNNNNNNNNNNNNNNNNNNNNNNNNNNNNNNNNNNNNNNNNNNNNNNNNNNNNNNNNNNNNNNNNNNNNNNNNNNNNNNNNNNNNNNNNNNNNNNNNNNNNNNNNNNNNNNNNNNNNNNNNNNNNNNNNNNNNNNNNNNNNNNNNNNNNNNNNNNNNNNNNNNNNNNNNNNNNNNNNNNNNNNNNNNNNNNNNNNNNNNNNNNNNNNUACCGUCGUUCUAAGCAAAAUAAGGUGCAUAAAAGGAUUAACAUCACAUGCAAUUCAUAAGUGACAUGAUAUGGCCAUCAUCACGUGCUCCUUGAUCUCCAUCACCAAAGCACCGGCACGAUCUUCUUGUCACCGGCGUCACACCAUGAUCUCCAUCAUCAUGAUGUCCAUCAACGUGUCGCCAUCGGGGUUGUCGUGCUACUUAUGAUAUUACUACUAAAGCUACAUCCUAGCAAAAUAGUAAACGCAUCUGCAAGCACAAACGUUAGUUUAAAGACAACCCUAUGGCUCCUGCCAGUUGCCGUACCAUCGACGUGCAAGUCGAUAUUAUUUAUUACAACAUGAUCAUCUGAUACAUCCAAUAUAUCACAUCACAUCGUUGGCCAUAUCACAUCACAAGCAUACCCUGCAAAAACAAGUUAGACGUCCUCUAAUUUUGUUGUUGCAUGUUUUACGUGGUGACCAUGGGUAUCUAGUAGGAUCGCAUCUUACUUACGCAAACACCACAACGGAGAUAUAUGAAUUGCUAUUUAACCUCAUCCAAGGACCUCCUCGGUCAAUUCCGAUUCAACUAAAGUUGGAGAAACUGACACCCGCCAGUCAUCUUUGAGCAACGGAGUUACUCGUAGCGAUGAAACCAGUCUCUCGUAAGCGUACGAGUAAUGUCAGUCCGAGCCGCUUCGAUCCAACAAUACCGCGAAAUCAAGAAAAGACUAAGGAGGGCAGCAAAACGCACAUCACUGCCCACAAAAACUUUUGUGUUCUACUCGAGAAGACAUCUACGCAUGAACCUAGCUCAUGAUGCCACUGUUGGGGAACGUCGCAUGGGAAACAAAAAAUUUCCUACGCGCACGAAGACCUAUCAUGGUGAUGUCCAUCUACGAGAGGGGAUUUCCGAUCUACGUACCCUUGUAGAUCGCACAGCAGAAGCGUUAAGAAACGCGGUUUAUGUAGUGGAACGUCCUCACGUCCCUCGAUCCGCCCCGCGAACCGUCCCACGAACCGUCGCGCGAUCCGUCCCACGAUCCGCUCUGAUCUAGUGCCGAACGGACGGCACUUCCGCAUUCAGCACACGUACAGCUCGACGAUGAUCUCGGCCUUCUUGAUCCAGCAAGAGAGACGGAGAGGUAGAAGAGUUCUCCGGCAGCGUGACGGCGCUCCGGAGGUUGGUGAUGAUCUCGUCUUAGGAGGGCUCCGCCCGAGCUCCGCAGAAACGCGAUCUAGAGGUAAAACAGUGGAGAUAUGUGGUCGGGUUGUCGUGGCAAAGUUGUCUCAAAUCAGCCCUAAAACCCCACUAUAUAUAGAAGGAGGAGGGGGAGCCUUGCCUUGGGGUCCAAGGACUCCCAAGGGGGUCGGCCGAACCUAAGGGGGAAGGUCUCCCCCCCCCCCCAAACCGAGUNNNNNNNNNNNNNNNNNNNNNNNNNNNNNNNNNNNNNNNNNNNNNNNNNNNNNNNNNNNNNNNNNNNNNNNNNNNNNNNNNNNNNNNNNNNNNNNNNNNNCCCGCCUCGCCCAGAUAUUGGAGCCCCUUGGGCCUUGGGUAUGCUAUACAGUGACGUUUCUCUUGCCCUGGUGGAUCCCCAGUAGCCCAAAAAGGUGUCUACCCCUCGUUCCUCGUCUCCAUGAAGUGCAGUCCACAUCGCCACAUCGUCGCCACACGCUGACCCAAGGUGCUCGCUCCGGCAGCUCCUCGCCUUAUUCAUCGAUUUUUUUGGUGUUGGUAUCCAUUGAAGGCGAGCAGCGCAACUUGCCAUCGUUGCAGGUCACUUGGUGCAUCGGUGCACUAUGCAAACAUGUGAGAGGAUUGAUUGGCACGCAAUUCAUUUUCAACCAUGUGACGUUGAUGUAUGGAUGUGCAUGGCAUGAGGUUCUCGAGUUGGGUUGUAUGUUGAUGCAGUUCGUGGGCGCGUCGACAUCAGAACCAGAUUCAAUGCUCAUGUGGGUUCAGUUCAUGGCUGUGUAGGCAACGAUGGAAGCAAGGCAGCCCACCCCAAAUGCACGGCGAGGAUCCGCUUCCAUUCCACUGCAGCAGUAGCGACUCUACACCCGCUGUGCGCCCCGCUCAUGCAGUCCAUGACAUGGUAGGUCAUGGUCCUUUGGGCUUGGGCGUCUAGUGCGGCUCCUGUGUGUGUCCAAUCCGACAAGAUGGGUGCAAAACCCGGUGUAUCACUGUGUAUUUCACAUAGGCGUGUUUAUCUUGUUGUAUGUUUCACUGUUUAUACAGUUCAAUUCCGACGCCCUCGCCAGUUGGAAUGGCAGCCUUUGCAAUUUAAAAAAAUGCAAAAGACAAAAAAUAUGAACGUUGUUUAUUUUGAUAGCAUUUUCUUACUGUGGUUCAUUGUUCGUUGUUUCUAUGUUCACUUUGUUGUUGUAUUGCACAAGACGGGCAACAAAAAACUCAAACUUAACAGCACCUCACUAAGAAAAAUAUUAAGAAAUCAUGCAGCCCUCUUAACCGUUUGAUGCAGUGUGGUUUUUCAUCUAAAACACUGCGAUCAGUCAUCUAAUGUUGUUCAUCNNNNNNNNNNNNNNNNNNNNNNNNNNNNNNNNNNNNNNNNNNNNNNNNNNNNNNNNNNNNNNNNNNNNNNNNNNNNNNNNNNNNNNNNNNNNNNNNNNNNNNNNNNNNNNNNNNNNNNNNNNNNNNNNUCUAAUGUUGUUCAUCUCCUGCAAUGUCGUCUAAUGUUGUUCAUCUCAUGCAAUAAAUGGCUACGGGAACGAGAACAAAAUGUGGUUCACUUCUCGAAAGUGUUGAUGUUCACUUACGCUCGACGUGAAGUGCGGUCCACUUCUUCGUCUUCAAAAUUUUAUGUUAGACAAAAAUAAAAUCAUGAAGUUCGCCUGCCCGUGUGAUGCACUGCAUUUUUCAGUAUGAUGCAGUGCAUUCUUCUGUCUCAUGCGGUUCACGCGUCGAUUUUGGUGUCGUGAAAAACAGAGUGAUCGCGUUUCGGUAAUUUCAGAACUGCUCUUAAAUUGUAAGGAAUUAGAGAGACUAUUCUGCAUGAAAAAGUUGCGCCUCAUCGAUCACUUGCAUCAUUCCGACGAACGGUUUGGAAAAAUAUUUGAAAAUAUGCUCGCUGCAACUCGUAUAGAGCAACACCGUUUUCAAAAUUCCUUUCAAACUGUGAGGAAUAUCACCAAGUGACCAACAUAUGAAAUUUGCGCCUAUUCCAUAGCUUUUCAACGCCGUACCAUACGCCUCCUUCUCACAAACUGUUUAAAACUGCAGUGACAAAUGUACCAAAAAAAUCAAAAAAAAUUGACAAACAAAAUUCCACUUUUUAGUAAAUUUGAAACUGCUCUAAAUCGUAAGGUAUUAGAGAAAAAUAUAUAUAUGAAAAAGUUGUGCCUUGACUAUAACCUUGAAUUGACAUAUUGUUUGCUUCAUUUCGACGAGCGAUUUAGACAAAACGCAAAAUACGCUCGUUGCCACCCAUCAUUUGCCAACUGUUUUUGAAACUGCUCUUAAACUGCGACGAAUCUCGAAAAGUGUUCAACAUGAAGAAAUUGGGAAUUUUCCGUAGCAAUCCAACGGUAUAUUAUAUGCCUUUUCCCGACAAACAGAUUAAAAACUGGAGCCAAAACGGUGUCUAAAAAACGCAUGCAGUUUUUUCUCGUGACAUUGGAGUGCUAGUUUGAUAGGGAUGCAGUGCAUUACCGUCUAUUCGUCACCCAGGAUGCAAAAUAUGUUAUUCUUGACCCAGGUAAUCUUACGACCAUUUUAUAAAUAAAUUACAUUUGGAAUAGCAGUAGUUACAUUAAUAUUGAUUCAUUAAGUAAAUUUUGAUGUAAAAAAAUUAAAAUAUAAGUCAUAAGACCAGAAAAUUCGUUCUUCAUGUGUAUUUUACACUAUGAUUUUAUAUUUGUAAUUUUACGUGACAUAAAAUAUUUUUACAUUGAUUAUAUUUUUUUACGGUCUCUUUUUACCUAUAAAAUAAGACAAGAUUGACGGAAUGUAAAAUUACGUUGUAUUGAUGUUAAAAUAGAGGGGGGGUGAAGAAUAACUAUUCGUCACCCUAGGUGAGGAAUAGUUAUUCAUCACCCUCCUCUAUUUUCACAUCAAUACACUGUAAUUUUACAUUUCUGAAAUUUUAAUCUUAUCUCAUAUGUAAAAAGAGACCGUAAAAAAAUAUAUAGUCACCAUAAAAAAUAUUUUGUAUCACGUACAAUUACAAACACAAAAACAUAGUGUAAAUUAUACAUAAAAUGUGAUUUUUCUGGUCUUAUGACCUAUAUUUUUGUUUUCUUAUGUCAAGUUUUUCGUAGUGAAUCAAUAUAAACGUAUCUAUUUGCAUUUCAAAUUUAAUUUAUUCAUGAAGAGGUCGUAAAAUUACCUCGGGUGAGGAAUAAUUUAAUCUGCACCCUAGGUAAUUUAAUCUGCACCCUAGGUGAUAUAUAUAUAUAUGACCGUUUGGGGCACCUAGGUGCCCAGGCUCCUUACAUUUCCACCAUUUGAUUGCAUUUAGAUGUGUGCUAUUGUGAUGGGUAUGGAAGGUAACUAGUCAAUCCAUUAGUAAUUUCCAAUUCUGAAAUAGAUAAUUUUGGAAACAAUGAUGACACAAAUCAUUAAAUGGAUGUCAUUAAACAUGUCAUACAUGAUAUCAUAUCUUUAGAAAAAAAAAAUACUACACAUUAGGCAUAUAGAUAUUUAUUUCACAUAUGUAUUAAUUAGGUAUGUAUGAAUCAUUUAUUUAGUGUAUCCAUCAAUGUUUUGUAUGUAUGUAUCUAUAAUAUUUAGUACCUAUGCAUUAGAUUUUCGUGUAUUAAUAUAUCCACAAUAUUUAGUACGUUAAUUGGAUUAGGUAUGUGGAAACGUUUAAUUGGUACAUACUCACUAGAUUUUAUUAGUAGUAUAUACCCGGAAUAUUUAGUAUGUAACUCAUUUUAUUUUUUGUGUACGUAUAUAUCUAGAAUACUUAGUACAUACCCAUUAAAUUAUGUAUGUAUGAAUUCACCUAUUUAAUACAUAUGCAUUAGUUUUUUGUGUAGGUAUAUACCCCGAUAAAAUAAAUACAUAGGAUUGUAUGUGGGUAUAUGUAACAUACAUUCCUAAAAGUAAAAAAGAAUUCUGGAUGGGUCUAUGUACGUAGGAAAAAAAAAAUCAUGUGUGGGUAUCAUAUAUUCGUACAAGUAAAAUAAUAAUUAGGAUCGCAUUUUGUAUUAUUUGGUCACCUUAAUUUGUAUAGAAAUAUUUGACCACCUUAAUUUCUAAAGAAAUAUUAGGUGUUUUUAUAGUAUUUGUCACAUCUGAUACGUAUCUUAAAAAAUAAAAGUGUAUAUGCAUACCCUUUUCAUUUGGAAAUGAAUCAUACUAGGAAACUAGUAGUAUAUUAAUUUUUUAGAAAGCAAUCAUUAACCAUUGAUGGUUGUAGUGCAUGCAAAUUAAAUUUGGAAAGUUAUUAUGUCAUGAUUUUUAUAUCAUGCACUAUCAAUAUGACUUGCUAUAUUGGGACCUAGGUGCCCAGACACCUAGGUGCCCCAAACGGUCAUAUAUAUAUAUAUCACCUAGGGUGCAGAUUNNNNNNNNNNNNNNNNNNNNNNNNNNNNNNNNNNNNNNNNNNNNNNNNNNNNNNNNNNNNNNNNNNNNNNNNNNNNNNNNNNNNNNNNNNNNNNNNNNNNUAUACUUAGCUAAUUUCUAUCCGAAAUAACCUAUAUAUACACUACUUCAUCUAGUAUUAUUUUUCUAACUUUCUUAUUUGUCAUUUUGCAGAUUACCUUCACUUCACGGGAAGCUUGGUUGAUGGAAUGCUUGAAGCUGAUUUCUUGUAACAUGGGUUGUAUUGAAACUAUUGUAGUAUAUGAAUAUAUGAAACUUUGUAUGCACGUGGAUGAAACUGGUGUAAUAUAUGGUUUGGUACGGAUGUAACUUGCAUAAUAUGUAUGCACUAUGGAUGAGAGUUAUUUUAAUAUGGUUAUGAGUACGGAAAGAAAUUUAUUUAUGUAAAAUAUAUAUAUAUUCUGAUUAUUGUUAAAAAUGCUGGAUAUAACAAAAAAUAAAUAAAAAAGGGGCUGGUUCCCCUCUUUGCCGUNNNNNNNNNNNNNNNNNNNNNNNNNNNNNNNNNNNNNNNNNNNNNNNNNNNNNNNNNNNNNNNNNNNNNNNNNNNNNNNNNNNNNNNNNNNNNNNNNNNNNNNNNNNNNNNNNNNNNNNNNNNNNNNNNNNNNNNNNNNNNNNNNNNNNNNNNNNNNNNNNNNNNNNNNNNNNNNNNNNNNNNNNNNNNNNNNNNNNNNNNNNNNNNNNNNNNNNNNAGGGGGAAUCUACCCCCUCUCUCUCCCCUCUUUGCCGUCUGCCCCCACAUGGCAAAGGGGGGGAGGCACAUGGCAAAGGGGGAUUCUGCCCCCUUUGUCUCCCCUCUUUGCCGUCUGCCCCCUCAUGGAAAAGGGGGGAAGGCAGACGGCAAAGGGGGAAUCUACCCCUCUCUCUCUCCCCUCUUUGCCGUCUGCCCCCUCAUGGGAAAGGGGGGAAGGCAGACGGCAAAGGGGGAAUCUACCCCUCUCUCUCUCCCCUCUUUGCCGUCUGCCCCCUCAUGGCAAAGGGGGGAAGGCAGACGACAAAGGGGGAAUCUGCCCCUCUCUCUUUCCCCUCUUUGCCGUCAGCCCCCUCAUGGCAAAGAGGGUAUGGCAGACGGCAAAGAGAGGAGGCCUGCCAUUAACACUUAACGGGGACGUUGCAAUAUAUGCCGUCCCAUUUACUUUGCCGUCCGUGGUUGCCCCCUUUGCCGCCCGCCUUGGCAGACGGCAAAUUUCUGGAUUUCAGUAGUGCAAGUUAUUACAAGCCUCGUAGGCUGACAAGGUCGCGUACUACUACAGAGUGGUACGGUAACCCUGUCUUGGAGGUCAUGUUGUUGAGCAACAGUGAACCUACGAGUUAUGGAGAAAGCAAUGGUGGGCCCAGAUUCCAACAAAUGGCUGGAAGCCAUGAAAUCCGAGAGAGGAUCCAUGUAUGAAAACAAAGUGUAGACUUUGGAAGAAUUACUUGAUGGUCAUAGGACUAUUGAGUAAAGAUGGAUCUUUAAAAGAAGACAGACGAUGAUGGUGAUAAGUUACUAUUAAGAAAAGCUCGACUUGUCGCAAAGAUGUUUCCGACAAGAUCAAACAGUUGACUAUGAUGAGACUUUCUCACUCGUAGCGAUGCUAAAGGUCUGUUAGAAUUAUGUUAGUAGUUGCUGCAUUAUUUAUGAAAUAUUGCACAUAGGAUGUCAAAACAUUGUUUCCUCGACGGUUUCCUUGAGCAAACAUUGUAUGUGAUAUAACCAGAAGGUUUUGUCGAUCCUAAAGAUACUAACAAGUAUGCAAGCUCCAGUGAUCCUUCAAUGGACUGGUGCAAGCAUCUCGGAGUUGGAAUAUACACUUUGAUGAGAUGAUCAAAGAUUUUGGGUUUGUACAAGGUUUAUGAGAAACUUGUAUUUCCAAAGAAGUGAGUGGGAGCACUAUAGAAUUUCUGAUAAGUAUAUGUGGUUGACAUAUUGUGGAUCAGAAGUAAUGUAGAAUUUCUGUAAAGCAUAUAAGGUUGUUUGAAAGGAGUUUUCAAAUGAAUACCUGGAUUGCGCUACUUCAACGUUGAGCAUCAAAUAUCUAUGGAGAUAGAUCAAAAAGUGCUUAAUGAAAGUUUCAACAAAAUGCAUGCCUUGACAAAUUUUUUGAAGGAGUUCAAAGUAGAUCAGCAAAGAAGGAGUUCUUGGUUGCUUUGUAAGGUGUGAAUUUGAGUAAGGCUCAAAACCCGACCACGACAGAAUAAAGAGAAUAGACGAAGGUCGUCUUCUAUGCCUUAGCCGUAGACUCUAAAGUAUACCAUGCUGAGUACCGCACCUGAUGUGUGCCUUGACUCAAAGUCCGGUGAGAGGUACAGAAAGUGAUCCAUGAUUGAAUCACUGAUCAGCGGUCAAAGUUAUCCUUAGUAACUAAAUAGACUAAGGAAUUUUUCUCGAUUAUGGAGGUGGUUAAAGAGUUCGUCGUAAAGGGUUACGUCGAUGCAAGCUUUGACACUAAUCCGAAUAACUAUGAGUAGUGAAACGGAUUCGUAUAGUAGAGUAGAUAUUUGGAGCAUUUCCGAAUAGCACGUAGUAGCAGCAUCUAUAAGAUGACAUAAAGAUUUGUAAAGAACGCACGGAUCUGAAAGUUUCAGAACCGUUGACUAAAACCUCUCUCACGAGCAAGACGUGAUCAGACCGCAUAACUAUAUGGGUGUUGGAUUCGUUGGAAUCACAUGGUGAUGUGAACUAGAUUAUUGACUCUAGUGCAAGUGGGAGACUGUUGGAAAUAUGCCCUAGAGGCAAUAAUAAACUAGUUAUUUUUAUAUUUCUUAGUUCAUGAUAAUCGUUUAUUAUCCAUGCUAUAAUUGUAUUGAUUGGAAACACAAUACUUGUGUGGAUACAUAGACAAAACACUGUCCCUAGUAAGCCUCUAGUUGACUAGCUCGUUGAUCAAAGAUGGUCAAGGUUUCCUGGCCAUAGGCAAGUGUUGUCACUUGAUAACGGGAUCACAUCCUUAGGAGAAUCAUGUGAUGGACUAGACCCAAACUAAUAGACGUAGCAUGUUGAUCGUGUCAUUUUAUUGCUACUGUUUUCCGCGUGUCAAGUAUUUGUUCCUAUGACCAUGAGAUCAUAUAACUCACUAACACUGGAGGAAUGCUUUGUGUGUAUCAAACGUCGCAACGUAACUGGGUGACUAUAAAGAUGCUCUACAGGUAUCUCCGAAGGUGUUCGUUGAGUUAGUAUGGAUCAAUACUAGGAUUUGUCACUCCGUAUGACGGAGAGGUAUCUCAGGGCCCACUCGGUAAUACAACAUCACACACAAGCCUUGCAAGCAAUGUGACUUAGUGUAAGUUACGUGUAAGUGCAUCUAGUGCCCGUUAGUGAUUUUGGUGGUUUGAAGACUUAUAGGUUAAGUAUCUAAUGUGUUGUUGAGUGUACACAGGAUCUAUAAGUCAUUGAGGAGUUUGAGAUAUUUGAAGAAUAUCGACCCCUAAAAAUGAAUGUCUUCAGUUGAAGAAAUUGGUCUGAAGCUGAAGAAAUGAAUCACGAGGAAUCUGCGAUGAAAUUGAUAUUCCUCAUGAAGAUAUUGAUAUUGAGAAGAUCGGUGGUUCCUGAAGAAAAUCAUUUUGAAGAAAUUGAAGCGUGAAGAUUUACGUUUUCUGUUUUACUUUCUUCGCAUUUGAUGAAUAGGAACACCGUACUGUAAAAGGGGGUCAAAGUAACGCUAUGGCAUGAAUUUCCUCAUGANNNNNNNNNNNNNNNNNNNNNNNNNNNNNNNNNNNNNNNNNNNNNNNNNNNNNNNNNNNNNNNNNNNNNNNNNNNNNNNNNNNNNNNNNNNNNNNNNNNNCUUGGGUUUGAUCGUACGCAUUUGCAUGUAUGUUUAGCGUACGAUUAAAUCGAGGCCGUCACAAGUUGAUAUCAGAGCCGGCUUCCUAUAGGUAGCCCCCUUUCCAACUCCUUGGUCGAAGUUGAGUCUAGUGUUUGACAAACUUUACUAACACUGAUGUUGUGGCUUACGGGCCCACAUCUCAAUUGGGUGGUAUUAGUAUCUUUUACUCCUUUCCUAUACUCUAGGCUCUACUCUCUCUUCUCUUUCGGGUUAAAGAUUUUACUAACUCUAACAUUAGGUUCUCGGAAUCACAUCUACCCAGAGAGCCCCGUAUUCCAGACGCUGGCUUUAUCCCUCAAAAGAACUGCAGUUACUCUUCGAUGUUCUCUUGAGCUGUUGUGCUCAUUGCUUCUGCAAUUUUCCCUUCCUUCGUCAACCACUACAGAUGACUACAUACAAAUGUCGUUCAUACUUUCUUCUCCAAUUGCUCUUGUUUUACAAGAUGCAAUGAAUUAUCUUAUCGGGGAUUCGUCCAUCAUCAGUUGUCAUGGGUUUCGAAAGUUCUUCGACUUACUAUUCGGUCUUCCGAAAUCCUCCGUAGCCUAAAGUUCAUGACCUUUCUCACCUACUUGCAUUAUGGUUAAAUCCAUAUGUCUAGCAGCAUUCAUUAAAAUCAUUUGUGAUUUUCCUGUGAUCUUAUUGAUUCUACCUUUGGGUGAAUGCACACAAUCACUUGAUGAUACUCAUGAAUUAUCUUCUGGCUCAGAUGUCCUUUCAGACGGAGCGGGUUCUCGACAAAUCAACUUUGGUUGGCUAUCCAUCUAAGUCCAUUCAACCUGCUCGUAUUUGACCAGAGCAUCUGUUUAUGAUACACCAAUCUGGAAAUCUUAAUUCCUUUGGUAGUUAAGUAUCGAUAAUUUUCAGAUGUUCUAUAAUCCGAUGCCUUGCGUUUUACCCCCCCCCCCUUGAUUGAGUACCGACACUCACAUCAGAUCAUUUGUGGAUUGCCAGACUCAUUUGAGUUAUUAUCCGACGGCAUCCUUUUGCUUUAGAAAAUUCUUGUGAUUGCUCCCCCUGAUAUAUGAUGCCAUUGGUAAAAUUGUGUCCUCUCUCUUUGAUUAAUUGUAUCCUAUACUUUUGUCGGCCAUGCUCUGUUGUCAAGCAUGUGUUAAUUACUCUUGAAGUUUGCGGUAUAUGUUCCUAAUAUGCCCCGACUGGUUGAACCUAUGCCUUCCUAAAUCAAUAUGACUCGAAAAGUUUUCAUGAGUCUUACUCUUCUGGUGUUAUGCCAGAUCUUCUUUCAAAGCUAUAACCUGAUCAAAGGCGAGGAGUAAAUGGCAGGUGAUGCAUUGAUGAAGUGGGAGUCGACCUUGAGCUUUGUGUUCAUGCCCAUGGAAGCGAUGUUGAUCCUAUCGUAGAAGCUUCUCAUAUCAAUAACCAUUCAUUGUAUGAUUUGAUCUUGUAUCCGUGAUUGGGUACUUUGCAAUCGUGGUUCCGACCAUAUUGUCCUACCUUGAAUUCUUUCUCAGACGAGUUAAAUUACUUGUCUUCUUCAGAUCAAUACAUCGGUCCAAGCCUUAAUGUUGAUCUACCUUCGAGUAUUAUUCCUUGUAGCUCGAGGAUAUCGCAGAGCUAUAUAACUUCUUGUGAGCUCCUCAUCGACUAUGAUAUUUUCAUUAAUUCCAGUUUCCUCGUGUUUGAGAUGUUGUACACGCGAGUACAUCGAUAACUGAAUCGAGUAUGCAUUGCGAUUCAACAAAAUUUUAGUAAUCUUCCUUGUUUACGAGUUUGUACUCGAUCGUGUCAUUCUAAGAUGUUAAGCUACAUCAUCAUGGUCAUGUUGGAGCUCGACCAUGCUAUCUAUACCCUCCAUCCCUGGAACACAAUUCUAACUGUGCGUUAAGCGUGCAUCGAACUUUCCACAUCAUGUUGGUUGUCCUGAAAGGCAAUCUCAAUUCUGAGCUAGCAGUCUUAUUGUGUUUCCGGCAGCCUGUAGCUUCAUCAUUCCCUUGCUUGAUGUCAUCGCUAAUCGAUUACAUCUUCGUGAAGUUCUCGACAAUUGUGUCGUGAUCAUCAUCAGCAUUCUGAGCUCUUCCAGGGCACCGAUCGGAGCAUGAUGAGAAAUACCAUCCUCACCCCUCGAUGAUUUGUGUUAUCAUCGACAAACCUUGUUGCCUUCACUCCCACGCAAACUUGAUCAUGUUUUGUGUUGUCCCUUGAGUUCCUUGCUAGUUCAACUUAUGUUGUCUCCUACCUUGAAGUAUUACUAUCUUUUCUGUCAAGAAUGUUGUGAGCAUGAUUGCACCUCUUAAGAAUUCUUGAUAUAGUGAUACUUCUCGGCACCACCAUUCAUUUCUUGGUCCCGUGUUGUUUCUAACUGGUGUACCGACAAGUGAACUCUGAUGUGUGAUUCCAAUACUUUUGUCAACCCUAUCACCUUGAGGUUAAUAACUGAUUGUUUCCUCCUUAGUGUGUGGGGUGUUGACUCAUCAUUUUAGCAUUGGUCGUGCUACUCACUCAGUAUUUCCGAGUGCACCCUUUUACCAAUAUUUAAUUGUUGUUGUUCCCUCGAGCAUACGACAUUAUACCAUUUGAUUUGACAAAUGCUAACUCCUUGAUAUUAUAAUUUUGGAAAUUCGUCCCUGUCAAAAUCUUGAGGGAUUGUUGCGAAGCCCAUCGGUCACACCCUCAAGUUCUCCAUGGUUCGUGAUGAAGCUUUUGAAAGCACUAUCUUUGUGCCUAACUCAUGGAUGAUAUGUUUGAUAUAAGAAGUGUUUUCCCAAGGUUCACGUGCAAUCCUGUCGCUGUGAAUAUAUGAAAGUUUUGUUUCACUUCCUCUAGGAUCGUCCCAAAUCAUUCACGCAUGUGCGAAGUGUUAUAUGUUUUGAAGAUUUGCUAUCUUCACUUCAUAUAAUUUCUCUUAGCACGCCAAGCCACUGACUGAUUUGAUCAAGGAAAAGAGGUUUCUUCAUAAGAGCUAAUCGAGGCUUACGCAAGGGCCUUGAUAUCCUCGAUGAUGGUUCUCAAAUCACAACUCACUUGCUUUUCGUCGUAAGAAUUUCAUGUGGGCCCGAAUGUCUUGACAUUGUGUUCAUAUGUAUUAAAUCGAACUCAUGGUUCAAAAAUUGCUCGUGUACUUCAUAUCCUGAGGAUCCUGCAUCAUCAUCUUUUCUUCUCAGGCAUCUUGAGUCUGAGGUGUCCCGACACCAAUCAGAUCUGAAUCUCAGGCCGAUAUGAUGGUUGGAACAUUUUCCCAAUAAUUAUAACUUUGGUCUUUAUGUAACCUGGUACGGUGAUGUCUUGUCGGGCAUACCAGGCCGCAGGACCUAUUUCUAUAAAUCUUUCCAUAUGUAAGGUUUGCCAUUCUACCAUGAGGAAAUUGUAUGACUUAGCUUCGUAAGUUGUUCCUCAUGGUUCCUCUUUGAAUACCCAUAAGUACAACCUUUAUCUGAUGACCUCACUUUAAUACUGCUGCAACAAUAUGANNNNNNNNNNNNNNNNNNNNNNNNNNNNNNNNNNNNNNNNNNNNNNNNNNNNNNNNNNNNNNNNNNNNNNNNNNNNNNNNNNNNNNNNNNNNNNNNNNNNUCAUAUUGUUGCAGCAUUAUUAAAGUGAGGUCACGCCUAAAGAUCCUCCCUCGACUCCCUGCGAGGAAGCAAUCCAGAGGCAAACUAAUUCCAGUUAAGUAACAAUUGUAGUUGUAUAAGAUCGGGGCACAACUCCAAGUCGUCCUGUAACCGUGGACACGGCUAUCCAAAUAGUUAAUUUUCAUCCCUGCAGGGGUGCACCACAUGUCCCGUCACGCUCGAUAACACUCUGGCCGGACAUACUUUUCUGGGUCCUGCCCGGCCUCGGAAUAUCGACACGUUGCAACCCCACCUAAGACUAAUCAGAGAGGUCAGCCCGCCGGUCUAAAUCCUAAGCGCAAAGGGUUCAUGGGCCCAGUUCCCCUCCGCGCUCCUGCAUGAAGCGAGGGCGGCCGACGUCAGUCCUAGCAUCCCUUAAUCACAAGCGCAAUGCAUCUCGGGACCACUCGGGCGCGCGCCACUACGAUUGCUGACAUCUGAAAAGCUUCGGCUGAUAUCGCGACGCUGAGUACCCAUAAUUCUUCCCGCGUAGCCGGUUAGUGCGAAAAGGUCUCCGACCAACCCAGAUGAAAUACCCAAAUCCAUUAACAUUUUAAUUAGGCCAACAACGCAGUCUCACGGGAAUCCACCCAUCUUACAACUAAUCACCAAAGAUCCCAGUAACAAGGUCGAGUAACUUUGUGGUUGUAACAUCGGGGGGAAUCCGAGGUAUCACCCUCGUUGGAUUCCGAACGAUGUACCCGUCAAGGUGGGCUUAGAGGAAUCACCCUCGGGGGUCCCACACUUGAGGGGUUGCACAACAGAGGCGUCAUCAGGAAUGGUGAAAGAGGAAUCACCCUCGAUAACCACGACCGACUAGCUAUACUACAGAGAUAUUAUCACGAGUACUUAGCAAGGUGUCACCCUCGGUACCCGAUAGUAUCCCUGUAGUGUCGUACAACGAAGGGGGUGUAUGUGAUGUGUCGGGUCUGGCUCGUCGAUCAGGGAUCGAGAUUUGAAAACAAGCGGGGCAACUGGACUACGGGGUCUGAGGGGAUGACUGCUCCACCUAUACUAAGCAUACUAAAGGUACAGGACUGAAAGUAGCAGUUCAUCAAAAAUAGGCUAUGCAUCAGAUAUAGGAGCUAACUACAACAGUAGCAAAAUACUAAUGCAAGCAGUAGGAAGAAAGACAUAGGCGAUAAAGGAAUGAUCAAGGGGGGGUUUGCUUGCCUUGCUGCUCUGCGGCAAAGGACUGAUCGGCAGGGUCGUAGAUGUACCCGGCAGCAGCGUCAGUCUCGGGGUCUAGCGGUAAGAAGAGGGGGAAGAAACAAUAAAUAAUAGCACCGAUGCAACACAAAGUAUGACAUGGCAAGAUGCAGGCUAGACAUGAGCUAACGCAGCAACAUCCGUCAUAGACGGGUCGGAAGAAUAUCUGACGAUAUUUUCCGGGUCUCGGGCUACUACCGGUUAUACUGGAAACGAUGGAAAUGUUCCAUGUUUGCUAUGCUAGGGACGCGUGACACACGAAUGGACCGUGUAUCCGGGUUCGUCUCGUUCUGCUGAUCAACUUUCAUGUUGAAAAUAUUUUAAUCUGACUUACGGAUUAUUUAAUUUUAAUUUUUAAAGUUUUAUUCAAUAAUUAGGAAUUAAAAACAGGUUUAAAUAAUUUAGUAAAAAUCUAUUAUGACAUCAGCAUGAUGUCAUGCUGACAUCAACACUUGACUGGUCAACUGACCAGCGGGUCCCGAACGUCAUAGGCACUAGUUUUAAUUAAGAUUAAAUAUUAAUUAAUCAGAUGAAUUUAGUGGGGGACCCACGUGUCAUACUCUAAUUAUUCUAAUUAAUUAAUUUAACUAAUAUAUCUAUUUAUUUAUUUAAUAAAAACAUUAACAUUAUCUUUAAUUUUUUUAAUUAUCGCGUGGGGCCUCCCUGUCAUAGACAGCGGGUGCGUUGGCCCCACCAGUAAGUGACCUUAGGCCAAAUACUCGAUUUUAUUCACAGAUACAUAAUCAUGCAAAUAUCGUAUUCCUUCAAAUACCUAUAUACGCAAUACAUACAUCGCAUCUCAUACAUACAUACAUUCAUAUAUACGGGAUACACCAUUUGUUUUAUUUUAUUUUAACUCUCAACACUCCCAUCUCUCUCUCUGUUAACAGACAACACAGAGUUUGUGUUAACUUUCUCAACAUAGAAGAGAGCCAACUUCAUCUCCUCCUACCGGAGUCAAACGUCGACGGAUCGGAGCCCCGUUUGCCGGAACGGAACCGGGACGGCAAGGGGAACGAGAUGGUGGGAGGAGCCCGAGGAGGGGCUCACCGACGUUGACGAUACGGCCCGGUGAAGCCGGAGAUCGCGGGAAGGGGCGGAGGAGACGACAUGUUGGCGUUCCUGGAGGCGGUGAUGAUGGUGAUGGCGGUGGUGGUGCGGGUGAGGUCGUUGCCGGCGAGGAGAGGCGCCGAGAGGGGUCCCGGUGUGGAGGGCCCCCAGGGAUGGAGCCGCCGUAGUGGAGCUCCGGCCGGCGCGGGGGGCCGACGGGAGACGAGGUUCCCGGGGGGGCUCGGUCGACGAGGGAACCGGGAGGGGGCCGUGUGCUCCGGCUGGUGGGGAAACAGGGUACCGGCGGGUGGUAGUGGGGGGCCGACGGGGCUGGUCGAAGAGGCGCAGGGGGAGGGUCGGUCGACGGGGUCCUCGGGCCGACGGGCGGGGCACCUAGGGCUGGGGGCGGUUCNNNNNNNNNNNNNNNNNNNNNNNNNNNNNNNNNNNNNNNNNNNNNNNNNNNNNNNNNNNNNNNNNNNNNNNNNNNNNNNNNNNNNNNNNNNNNNNNNNNNUGCUGCAACAAUAUGACUAUUAAUGUUUUACCCGUGUUCUACUCUCGUCUAUUGCUGCAAGACCCUGAAGAUGCUAGUCUUCGAUAGGACUAGGCCUUCUCUCUCUAUUCUCGCAUUGCUGUAGUCAGUCCACAUAUAACCCCCCUUCUUUGAUACUGGUGCAUAUUUUGCAUAGUUCUGAUGUAAGUCUUGCGAGUACUUUGGAUGAGUACUCACCGUUUCUUUGCUCCCCCUUUGUUCCCUUGAUCAGUUGCUGUGACCAGAUGUUGGAGCCCAAGAGUGGAGUUUCCUGCCAAUGUCUUCCAUCCCGUUGGUGUCUUCUUCAUGGAGGCCGCUGGAGAUAGGAGUAGUUUAGGAGGUUCCCAGACAGGAGGCCUCGCCUCGUUCAAUCGUGUUUCUUUCGUGCUAGCCUUCUCUAAGGCACCCCAUGUUUUAUGUCUGUGCUCAGAUAUUGUUGCUUCCGCUGACUCGUGUGUUUAUCGAGCUUCUGUAUUCUAGCCCUCGAGGCCCCUGGCUUGUAAUAUGAAGCUGA
rnacentral:lncRNA from 1 species